rnacentral:lncRNA from 1 species
UCUUCUUCAGUUUCAUAAAUGCAUAGAAAAUUAACAAGCUCAAAUUCCUUCUUUUCAUAUUCAUCUCUUUCAUUUUGAAUUGCAACUUUAUCCUGCCUAAAUUCCUCAACAAUGAACCACCCAUCAGGACAGCCUCAAAAUGAACUUCCUUGGUCCGCCGGAUUCUGAGAUUGUUGCUCUGACCUGAAAACUUGUAACCCUUUCUUCUUUCUUCAAUAUCAGUUGUGUCUUUUUAAUUAUAUGAAUUAGUUUAUCAAUUAAAUAUAUGGACAUUUCAGGUUGCAUUUCAUACUGGUGCCCAUGCAUCACCUUUGGCCAGAUUGCUGAGAUUGUUGAUAAAGGGUCGACUUGUAAGUUAUUAAUUUCUAAAUUGAAAUCUUAUCAUCUUAGGUUUGCAGACAUAUAUAUAUAUUUAAAGAGAUAUUAUGUAAUUAAUAAUAAUGUUGAAAAACACUGUUGGAUGGUGCAGCAUGUGGGGCAAGUGGGGCACUAUACACAUUAAUAAUGUUCAUCACCGGGUGUGGGUGCUUAUAUUCUUGCUGCUACCGAUCCAAACUGAGAAAGCAGUAUAACUUGAAAGGAGGCGAUUGUGGCGAUUGCAUGCGUCAUUUCUGCUGCGAGCCUUGUGCCUUGACACAAGAGUAUCGUGAGCUCCAGAACCGUGGAUUCGACAUGUCUAUCGGUAUGUCUACAUACCAAUAUUAUACCCCUUUUAAUUAUUCUUAAUAUAACUUCAAGUAUAUUAAUUGAGUAGCUGUAAACAAAUAUCUCCGAAUAAAUAUGUUGGUAAUGAUGAGAUAAAUUAUUGUUUGAGGUCAUUAAUUUUGUGGGGGUAUAUUUAUAUAUGCAGGUUGGCAUGCAAAUGUGGAGAAGAACCCAGGGCUGGCAAUGGCUCCAGCGGUAGAAAAAGGCAUGAGCAAAUAGAUGAUGAUGAUGAUGAGACCACUGCAUUAAUAUCAUCUUUACAUGUAACACUUAAUUCCUUGGCUUUCCAUAAUUGGUUGAUUGUACGGCUUGCCAAUUGAAUUUCAAGUUAUGUAUGUUUGUGAUUGUCAAAUAUAUUAAUAAAAAGUGUUACUAUUCAUGUUAGAUCUUCAUGAAUAAGAAUGAGAAUCGAAAAUAACUUGUAAUAUUGUGUGUGCAUGUUUGGUAUUUAGGUGAAAUACUUAGAAAGAGAGGUUGGAUUAAAUUAAUUUUUUAUUAUCAAAAUGGAUGAUUUUAAUUUUUAUAUUAAUAAAAAGAAUUAAAUAAAAUUAAUAUUUAUUGUUUUAGAAAAUGACAUCAAAUUAUUGUUUUUUAUAGUUCAAUCCAAAUAAAAUAUCUACAAAAUCAUUAAAAACUUUUAAAAUGUGACUUUGUUAAAUAGUAAAUAGCAUUUUUUUAAAAGGGUUCAUAUAUAUCGUGAUACCUAAAGUUGGCAACUUCUACUUAGUAUCUAAAUCGGUACAUAAACUUGAAAAUUGUAAGUCAACUUCGUAUUUUUAUAAGUAUGAUGAUGUUGGUGUAGUGUGAGGAAGAAGACUUGAAUGGGUUUGAUUAUUUUUAAUAAUACAGGAAUUUACAUAUUAUAAGUAAAUAGACACUCACAUUCUUUAUGUAUUAUAAGGAAGAAGACUAAGUCGAUCUACUUUGUAAUCUCAUCAAUCUUAAUUUUCUCAAUUGUUAAGGGAGUUCAAAUGAAAUACAAAAUUUUGGUAAAAAAAAGUAUCCAAUUUUGUGAAUAAAAAAUAUAUGGUAAAAAAGAUUUGGUAUCGAUACUUCGGCGCGGGUAUCAAUACUCGAUACAUUGCUUUUGGUUGGAAAGUAGUGUCUGGAACGGCCAUGGGAUGUGUUGUUUUCCAAACCGGUAAGGCGAAAAGGUUUGUGAAUUUGGUUGAAGACCAACAUGAGAAGAGGCGAAGAAGAAAACCAAAAUAUAGCAAUCGCAUCAAUGGAUGAAGAAGGAUCUAGUUGGUGCAAAUGAAGUUAAAGCAUUUGUGCUGUGUCUUCAUAAUUUCUUGUUUAGUAGUCUGUCAGAAAGUUUUUCCUAUGGUGAAAAGUUGCAUUGGUAUGUGUCUGUCUUUAUGAUUGUACCAAUUCCUCUGUAUUUCAUUGCAUUUCGUACUAUUUGUAAGGGUUUAGUUCGAGUGUAACAUCUUGUAUGGUGCAACUAUGUAUGUCUUCUUUCUUGAUUAUUGAAAUUAUAAUCAAAAUUAAUACAUGUUCUUUUUAUUAGCUUAAGGGCGUAAAAACACUUCAAAAUUUUCAAAAAAUAAAAUAAAAUUUUAAGUCCCUCUUUUUUUUACACUCAAUUGAAAUUUUUAAAAUGUAUCAAAAAUAUCUUUACAGUUCUUCAAAAAAAAAAACAAUUAAACCCCUAUUUUUUUUCCGCUCAAUUGGGUACUUGAACUUUCAUAAUGCAUCAAAAAUGCCUUAAAUUUUUUUCAAAAAAGCAAUUAAGCCCCUACUCUUAUUAAAAAUUAGAAAAAAAUCAUAAAAAUAAUAAAUUUUAGAAAAAAUUAUUAAAUUUUAAUAAAAAUUUAAAAUUUUAUUAAAAAUUAGAAUUUUUUUUUAGAAAAAUCGUCAAAAAAUAAAAAAUUAUAAAAUCCAUCAAAAAGUUUUAACAAUUAACUUUAACUAUUGAUCGUUAAAGUUAACGACCUCUAGUUUUUUCAAUUAAAGUCAUUAUGUGUCGCAACUCAACGUGACAUGUAGCGAAAAUAGAUAAAAAAGUAAAAAUCAAUAAAAGUUAUAGAAAAAUUAUAAAAUAUUUCUUUUGGUAGAAUAAUUUUUAUAAAUUUUUUUUACAAAAUUUAUAUUUCUUUACAUUUUGUAUAAUUUUCUUAUAACUUUAUAAAAUUUUAUAAAUUUUUAUAUUUCUAUAUAUUUUAAAAUUUUUUAAAAUUUUUAUAAAAUUUUACAAUUUUUAUAUAUUUUUAAUAAAUUUUUAAUAUUUGAUUUUUUAUUAAAAUUUAAUAAUAUUAUAGAUUUUAUUGAUUUUAAUUUUUUAUCUAAUUUUUAAUAAAAUUAGGGGGUUAAUUGCUUUUUUUUUAAGUUUGAGGGUCUUUUUGAUGCAUUUUGAAAGUUCAAGUACCCAAUUGACUGCAAAACAAAAAGAAAAAAAGUAGGGGCUUAAUUGCUUUUUUUGAAAAUGUUUGAGGGCUUUUUUGAUGUAUUUUGAAAGUUCAAGUACCCAAAUGAGUGCAUAAAAAGAACAGGGGUUUAGUUGCUAUUUUGAAAAAGUUUGAGGGCUUUUUGCACCUUUAAACCUCUUUUCUUUUUCUAAAUUUAAUUUAGAACCAACUUUGUGUAAAGACUUGGGAAAUUUAAUUAGCAAAAUUUCUUUCCAUGUAAAAAUUUCCCCUAUUUCUUGUUUGAAUUUAAAGCAAUACAAUAUUUUUCUAGCAAAUAAUAGAAAAUGACAGUCAAUUAAUUCCAGCAAUACAACAUUUCCAGUCUGGUGGAAAACAGCUAGGGACCAAAUUUUUAAAGUGUUGUUUACUACACACUUAGGGACCAUAUAUGUAUAUAUAUAUAUUCCAGUCUGGGUCUUUGUCGUGUUUUGUUGGUUGGCUAUGGCCUUCUUGUUGUUUCAUGGCCACUGCCCGUGAAUUAAGUCAUAUGUGGCCUUGUUUGCUAGACCUUAGUUGCUAAGUUAAAGGGAGUGAAUAGAGCACCAUAUUUCUUCUUCUGCGUGGAAAAUAAGUUGGCAUUAUGCCAAAUUCCACAUUCAUACAUAGAAAGGAAGCAAGGCCAAGUCAUUAUACUUUGUAAUCUCAUCAAUUCUAAUUAUUUCACUUCUUCAUUCUUUAGGGAGUUCAAGUGAAAUACAAAUUUUUCCACAUCCAAUCUCAUAAAUAAUCCGUCUUUGAACUUUCACAAAAAAAUAUUAAAUACCCAUUCACUUUAAUUCUACUAUUCUUAAAUCAUUCAAGUUUUGUGGAAAAUAUGCUUCUUGGAUAAAAUUAUUCAACACACAUGCCUUGAAUUUUAUGCAAUAAAAUAAAUCAAUAUAGGCCACACAUGCUUUGAAUAUUUAAGUAGUCCACAAUUUUGUUCGUUUGUGUGCAAAAUUCUACAUUGCUUGACAGCCAUACAUUCUAAGUAAAUAGACACCCACAUUGUUUACGUAUUAUGAAGAAGAAGACUAAGUCAGUCUACUUUGUAAUCUCAUCAAUCUUAAUUUUCUCAGUUAUUUAGGGAGUUCAAAUGAAAUACAAAAUUUUGGGAAAAAAAAUGUAUCCAAUUUUGUGAAUGAAAAAUAUAUGGUAAAAAGGAUUUGGUAUGGAUACUUCGGCUCGGGUAUCAAUACUCAGGGUAAGUUUAUCGAUACAUUGCUUUUGGUUGGAAAGUGGUGUUGAUAGGUGAUGACUAAAAUUUGAUAAAUUUGAAAAGUACAUGAAAUUUAACGAUUAUUGUUUGGUGAUGACUAAAAUUUUAAAAUUUGAAAAGUACAUGAACUAAAAAUGACCAAAUUAAAGUAUAAAGAUUAAGUCCACAACUUUUGCAAAGUACAAGGACUAAUAGCAGAAAUUAACCUAAAUUUCAUAUGGGUCAAUUACAAAAAUAAUCACUAAACUAUUCCUUUGGUUCUAUUCUAGUCACUCAACUAUAGAGGUGCUCAUGGGCUGAGCCAGGUCAAGCCUAAGUAUGAUAUUAAUGUAUUUUAUACUUGCUCAAGCUUGGCUCGGCCUGAAAUAUGAGCUUAAAAUUUUGCCUGAACUCAUCCAUAUUUGCAAAAGACUAACCCAAGCUCAUUUUAAGCAUGCCUAUAUAAUUUUUAAUUUUUUUUAAAUAUUUAUAUUAUAUUAUAUUAAUUAAUAAUUUAAACAUUUUUUAUUUAUUAAAAUUUUUUAUAGUCAUUUUAACAUUAUUUUAAUGUUUACAUUAUAGUAUUAUUAUAUAUUUAGUAUAAGUAUUUUUUUAAUAUGUUCUAAUUUAUAUAAUAUAAAGUAUUAUACACUUAAAAACGGGCCGGGCUGGGCUUGAGCUUUAGUUGUUACUCAACUAUUAAUUUUUUCGAUUUAGUUGUUAACCUUUUCAAAAGUAAAUAUUUUAGUCAGUCUCCUAUUAGUUGUUGUUAAAUGAGUGACGGAAAGCUAAUGUGAGCUUUUUUUAUUAGUCUAAUAACAAAUUUAGCCCUCCAAUGUUUACACAUUCUAUCAAUUUGAUCGUAAAUAUAAAAAAAAAAUCAACAAAUUUAGCCCUGAAUAUUAACAAAACUUGUCAUUUUAGUUCAAAUUCUAAAAAAUUUAAUAAAUUUAACCUUUAAUAUUUUCAAAAAAAUAGCAAUUUAGUUCUAAUUCUAAAAAUUUUAAUAUAUAUAUUUAAAAAAAUAUUUCUAAUCCUCUGUCUCACCCUUUGAUUUUUUAGAUGAGCUAAAAUCAAAAUAUAUCAUUAUGUCUUUUUGUUUUAAUGCUAAAAGAGAUAAAAAAAAAUGGAAAGCUAAAAUGGCUUUUCGUUUGUGAAGUUAAAAAAUGCCAAAUAAAUUAUUAUGUCUUUUUAGUUUUAAUUUUUUACUUGAUUAAAAGAGAAAUAAUUAACGAAUGAAAAAUAAUUAUUCACAAAUAAAUUUAUCAGAAUUUAUAACAAAUGAGAUUUUAAAUUUGAAUUUAUAAAUCAAAAUUUAUAUAUAUAUAUAUAUAUAUAUAUAUAUAAAAGAAAACACAUUUUUAUGAAAUAUAAGAUUUUGUUAAAAGAAAGAGCAUAUAAAAGCAUACACGUUUUUAUGAAAUACAAGAUUUUGCUAAAAGAAAAAGCAUCCAAUUUUAAGAAUGAAAAAUAUGUGGUAAAAGCAUCCAUAACUUUUCAAUGUAAAAGAAAAAAAAACUGUAACACCAAUGUUGUGGUAUUAUUUGUUGCCUAUAAAUACCAUUCCUAUCCUUCAUCUUCCUCUACCAACAUAACAUGGCCUCCUCCUAUCUCUUUCUCUUUCUCUGCCUAUUCCUCUUCUUUCCCCAUCUUUAUGCUUCUUUUUCUUCUUCAGGAUCUCACUCCUGCUCUUCACUAAUCCAGUUUAAGGACUCUUUUUCCAUAACAGAGGAUGCUUCUUCUGAUUGCAAUGAGAUUGCUGGCCAUAAAUUUUAUCCCAAGACCAAUUCAUGGAAGGAGGGUACAGAUUGCUGCUCAUGGGAUGGGGUCACUUGCGACCACCUAAAUGCUCAUGUUAUUGCCCUUGACUUGAGCUGCAGUUGGCUAUAUGGCAACUUCCCUUCCAAUUCCACUCUCUUCCUUCUUCCUCACCUUCAAAAACUCAACCUUGCCUACAAUUAUUUUAAUCUUUCCAAAAUUCCAUCCGAGUUCGGUCGGUUUACAAGCCUAUUCUACCUCAACCUUUCUUAUACAUGGUUUGCAGGAGAAGUCCCAUCCCAAGUCUCCCACCUGUCAAAAUUGGUUUCACUUGAUCUCUCCUUUUGGAUUGAUAACUAUGAGCAACUUACAAUUGACAAACAUGCUCUGGAGGGACUUGUUCACAACCUAACCGAGGUCAGACAUCUGUUUUUGGAUGGAAUCAACAUGACUUCUGUUAAUGCUCAUGUCUUCAUGAAUCUAUCCUCUUCUCUAAGAUCUCUCAGUCUUGCUGGUUGUGAUUUGCAAGGAAAAUUCCCAAAAAACAUUUUUGAUUUGCCAAACCUCAAUCUCCUCAACUUGGGAGGCAACCAAUUGAGUGGACAAAUUCCAAGAUCAUUGGGGAACCUCUUGCAACUCACUGUUUUAGACUUGUGGGGGAACAAAUUGAGUGGACAAAUUCCAUUGUCAAUUCUAAACCUAACGCAGUUGGAAUACUUGGUAAUAUCUGAAAAUUCUUUAGAAGGUUCUAUUCCAGAUGAGGUAACCGCUGUUCCGAAUCUAAUAUAUUUAGUCUUAUAUGACAAUUUACUCAAUGGAACACUUCCGUCAUGGUUGUAUACUGCUCCCUCCUUAAAGGGUAUAAUUCUCUCUCAAAAUCAAUUCAGUGGGCAUAUCAAAGAAUUCCAAACCAAAUCACUAGAAUAUUUAGAUCUAGAAAAUAAUAAACUCCAAGGUCCCCUUCCAUCUUCAAUAUUCCAACUUCUCAAUCUUACCGGGCUCCUUUUAUCCUCAAAUAAUCUUAGUGGUGUCAUAGAGUUUCGCAUGUUCUCAAACCUUCCAAAUCUCAAAUAUCUUUACCUUUCAUAUAACAACCUAUCCUUAACAUCUAAUUCUACUUCUACUGUUAAUCAUAUAUUGCCUAAUCUUACAGACGUACUUUUGUCAUCUUGCAAUCUUAGUGAAUUCCCCCAGUUUUUAAAAGGGCUUAAAAGUUUGGAAAGCUUAGACCUCUCUUGCAACAAAAUUGAAGGCAAGAUUCCACAGUGGAUGCAAGAGGUGGGGAAUGUCUCUUUGACUUACUUCAACGUAUCUCACAACUCUUUGACAGAAGUUGAGCACUUUCCAUGGAAGAAUAUUGAAAGGCUUGACUUAAGCUCCAAUUUGAUCAGUGGAAAUCUUCCGAUUCCAGCUUCGACCAUCAGUGUCUUUUUUAUCUCAAAUAAUAGUUUCAAUGGAGAGGUCUCUUCUUUAAUAUGCAAUGCCAGUUCUCUUCGAAUUCUUGAUUUGUCCCACAAUAACUUGAGUGGACCAAUUCCGCAAUGUUUUGGAAAUUUGAGUGACAGCCUUGAAAUCUUGAAUCUGAAGAAGAACAAGUUCUAUGGGACGAUUCCUCCAAAAUUUGCAAAGGGAUGCCGAUUGACUAAUUUCAACUUAAAUGGAAAUCUGUUAGAAGGGCCAUUGACUCCAUCCAUCCUUAAUUGUAGGGGUCUGGAAGUGCUAGAUCUUGGUAACAACAAGAUCAAUGAUACAUUUCCUCAUUGGUUGGGAAGUCUUCCACAGCUACAAGUUCUUGUAUUGAAGUCAAAUCAUAUGCAUGGUUCCUUAUGUGUCAAUAGCUCUAAGUCUAGCCCUUUUUUCUCUAAAAUCCAAAUUUUUGACCUCUCAAGUAACUAUUUUUCUGGACCCCUACCAGUGAGAUACAUCAACAGCUUCAAGGCUAUCAUAAAUGUAGAGAAGAUUGGUAGUACAGUGUCGUACAUGGGGGUGAAUGAUGAUGGAGGUGACUUCUAUACCUAUUCCAUUGGAAUUGUCAUGAAAGGGAGAGAUAUGGAAUUGGUGAAAAUUUUCACCAUGUGGAUGAUCAUUGAUCUAUCAAACAAUCAGUUUGAAGGGGGUAUUCCAGAGGUUUUUGGGAAGCUUAACUUACUGAAAGGGCUCAACCUUUCUCAUAAUAACCUUAAUGGUGGUAUCCCCACCUUAAUAGGGAAUUUGACAAGUCUUGAAUGGUUGGACCUAUCUUCAAACAGGUUGUCUGGGACGAUUCCAAAUAGAUUGGCAGAUCUGCCAUUUCUUUCGUCCUUCAAUGUUUCUGAAAAUCAACUCCAUGGUCAGAUUCCUCAAGGCAAACAGUUCAACACAUUUGGAAAUGAUUCAUAUGAAGGAAACAAGGCAUUAUGUGGAUUUCCGGUCUCAAAAGGUUGCAACAUCAUUGAGCCAGCACCUCCAAAUGUGCUUGAAAAAGAUGGCUCAAAAUCAAACAUUACUUUUGGUUGGAAAGUGGUGUUGAUAGGUUAUGGAUGCGGAGUGGUGUUCGGAAUGUCCGUGGGAUAUGUUGUUUUCCAAACUGGUAAGCCGAAAUGGUUGGUGAAUUUGGUUGAAAUCCAACAUGAGAAGAAGCGAAGAAGAAAGUCAAAGGAUGGCAGUCGCAGCAAUGGACGAAGAAGAAUCUAGUUAGUGGAAAUGAUGUUCAAGUGUUGAUGUUGUAUCUUCAUAAUUUCUUGUUUUGAAGUCUGUCAAAUUUUUUUCCUAUCGUGAAAGGCUGCAUUGCCAUGCAUCUGUCUUUUUUAUUGUAACCAUUCAUCUAUAUUUCAUUGCAUUACGUAGUAUUUGUAAGGGUUUGUUUUAAAUGUAACAUUUUGUAUGGUUCAACUAUUUAUGUCUCUUUCAUGAGUUUCAUUUUUGAGUCUCAAUAAUCUCUGCAUUCAAGAUUUUGUCAGCUUAUUAAUUGGUGGAUCAAUAAUCUUCAUGCUCAUCUCAUCAUCUUUUUCUCGAGUUAAACACAGUCACUACUAUAAUAAUUUCUUCUGUGUGGAAAAUAAUUUGGCAUUCUGCAAAUUUCCACAAUGCUUGUGGAUUACCUCUGGUUGACGGCUAUACAUAUAAAGGAAGGAAACAAGACUAUGUCAAAAUUUCCAAAAAUCAGUCAUUCAUUUUUGAACAAUUAAACAUUCCUAUUCUAUUUUUCAAAAUUGUAAAUCCUCAAAUAAUGUAAAUUAGUCCUAAAACUCAAGUUUUGAAAUCUUUACAAUUUAACCCCUUAUAGUUUCAAACUUUACUAUUUUAUGCUCAACUUUCUAAAUCUUCAUAUUUCAUGAUCAUAUAAUUUAGUUAUUACAUCAAUAUUUCAGAUUUCACUACUCAAACCCUUACUUCAUUUUGGUCCUUACUUCAAUUUUUUCAAAUUAAAUCAAUUUUCAAUUUGACUGCAUUGAUGUGAAAUUGAGGGAGCACUAAACAAUGUUGAUGCGAGUUUAGGUAAAAUUGGUGGAUCCCAUCUCCUUAGUAAUUUCUUUAUGGAAGUAGCUGCUUUCACACUGCAAACUUGAAUAGUUUGUGGUGGACGAUGAUGAAUCAUUUGACAAUCAAACACAUAAUUUUUAAACACAAAAUUAACGAUAUUUUGAAAUCAUUAUUGAAAUUAUAAUCAAAAUUAAUACAUGUUCUUUUUAUUAGCUUAAGGUCGUAAAAACCCUUCAAAAUUUUCAAAAAAAAAAAAAAUUUAAGUCCCUCUUUUUUUUUUUCUAAUUUUUAAUAAAAGUAGGGGCUUAAUUGCUUUUUUUUUUUUAAGUUUGAGGGUCUUUUUGAUGCAUUUUGAAAGUUCAAGUACCCAAUUGAGUGCAAGAAGAAAGUAGGGGCUUAAUUGCUUUUUUUUAUGUAUUUUGAACGUUCAUGUACCCAAAUGAGUGCAUAAAAAAAACAGGGGUUUAGUUGCUAUUUUUGAAAAGGGUUUGAGGGCUUUUUGCACCCUUAAACCUCUUUUCUUUUUCUAAAUUUAAUUUAGAACCAACUUUGAGUAAAGACUUGGGAAAUUUAAUUAGCAAAAUUUCUUUCCAUGUAAAUAUUUCCCCUAUUUCUUGUUGGAAUUUAAAGCAAUACAAUAUUUUUGUAGCUAGUAACAGAAAACGACAGUCAAUUAAUUCCAAGCAAUACAAAAUAUCCAGUCUGGUGGAAAAUUUGUUUGUUAGAUUCUAUUAUUCAACUUUUAAGGCAUAAGUCUGAAUAUAGGGACUAAAUUUUUAAAGUGUUGUUUAUUUUAAAAUCUAUUAAUAUAUACACACUUAGGGACCAUAUAUAUAUAUAUCAUAUAUAUAUAUAUAUAUUCCAUUCUGGAUCUUUGUCGUGUUUUGUUGGUUGGCUCUGGCCUUGUUGUUGUUUCCACUGCCUGUGGUCUCUGUUUCUAAGUCAUAUGUGGCCUUGUUUGCUAGACCUUAGUUGCUCUUCACAUGUCUUGUAUUUUGUCAAGUUAAUUGAAAUGGAAAAUAAAAGUGUUGGCAUUACAGAUUAGAGUAAAAGGAAUUAGUGUUGAAGUUGGGGUUGUUCAAUUGUUGGAAUUCAUGUGUGUAUUUUUUUGAGUAUCUGGGUCUUUGUCGUGUUUUCUUGGUUGGCUAUGGCGGCCUUCUUGUUGUUCCCACUGUCUGUGGUAUUUGUUUCUAAGUCAUAUGUGGCCUUGUAUGCUAGACCUUAGUUGCUAAGUUAAAGGGAGUGAAUAGAGCACCAUAUUUCUUCUUCUGCGUGGAAAAUAAGUUGGCAUUAUGCCAAUUUCCACAUUCAUACAUAUAAAGGAAGCAAGAGCAAGUCAAUAUACUUUGUAAUCUCAUCAAUUCUUCUUCUUUCUUUAGGGAGUUCAAAUGAAAUACAAAUUUUUGGUAAAUCAACUCUUCAUUUUUAUGAAUAAAAAUUAUAUGGUAGAAAGGAAGUGGUGUUAAUAAUAAUAAUAAUAAUAAAAAGAUUAACAAUAGAACACUAAUAAAGCAAUUUAGUCUAUGAUCUGCACAAUAUAUUACUACAAAUGUACCGUACAGAAUAUUGAAAGAAAACUAAUAAAGAAGUUCGAAAUUUAAACAAUGUUCCGCAAAUUAUGUUUAUGAUCUGCUGUAAAUUGAUAUGUUAAAUCAACUCUUCAUUUUUAUGAAUAAAAAUUAUAUGGUAAAAAGGAAGUGGUGUUAAUAAUAAUAAUAAAGAUCAACAAUAGAAAACUAAUAAAGCAAUUUAGUCUAUGAUCUGCAUAAUAUAUUACUACAAAUGUACCGUACAGAAUAUUGAAAGAAAACUAAUAAAGAAAUCCGAAAUUUUAACAAGGUUCCGCAAAUUAUGUUUAUGAUAUGAUGUAAAUUGAUAUGUCAAAUUUUGUGGCAAGUAAUAGAAAAUGACAAAUUCCACAUUCAUACAUAUAAAGGAAGCAAGAUCAAGUCAAUAUACUUUGUAAUCUCAUCACUUCUUCUUCUUUCUUUAGGGAGUUCAAAUGAAAUACAAAAUUUUGGUAAAUCAACUCUUCAUUUUUAUGAAUAAAAAUUAUAUGGUAAAAGGAAGUCUUGUUAAUAAUAAUAAUAAGAUUAACAAUAGAAAACUAAUAAAACAAUUUAUCCAAAUAUCAAAAUAAAUAUUAACUUUUUCAGAAACCAAAAUUAUUUUCUAAAAAUUAUUUUUUAAAAACUAUUUUUAGUGAAACAAACUGAGUCUUAGCCCAUAUUGUAAAUUAUUUUGUGGGUCUGGAAUUCUUGUACAUUAUGCUGCAAAAGAGUGAAAUUUCCUUACAGCUAGUCGAUCAAGUUUGGUUGAAAUUGAAUGCAUUGAUGUGAAAUUGAGGGAGCCUAAACAAUGUUGAUGCGAGUUUAGGUAAAAUUAGUGGAUCCCAUCUCCUUAGUAAUUUCUUUAAGGAAGUAUCUGCUUUCACACUGUGUUGACAACUUCCCACAGAUCAAAGGCCUGCAGGUAAGUCUUCAUAUUUACCAGCCAUAUGUGAAAACCUUCUCCAUUGAAGACUGGUGGGACUGCUGGUGAAAAUCCUGAAGAAGCCAUCAGGUUUCUUGAUUUGAAGCAACAGGUCCACUAAGAAAAGGGCUCUAGAUACCAAUUGUUGGUGUAAAAGGGCAGAAGCAAACUGAUUUAAGCUUGCUUAUACAGCAAGCCUCGAGCCUUGUAGAAGAAACAAUCUCAGCAGAAAGCAAAAAUGAAGCUUGCAGUUGGAAAAACAAGAAAACAAGGAGAGAAUUUGAAUGAAAAACAAGCUGAGUUGUUCAUUAACAUUACAACAAGGCAUAUUGCCAUUACAUAUAUCAGUUAACUUGUCAAAUAAACAAGUAAUCACCUAAUCAAUUACCUAACACCACUAAUAUGCAUUGAAACUUACAAAAUUAGCUUGCAAACAUUACAUUGCUGAUAUUUCAGUCAAUCAACAUCAAAAUUACACCAAAACAUUCACCUGCUUAGUUCAAUGUGAACUAGAUUACAAAAUGAUUAAAAUACAACUAAAACAACAAGUGGUUCAGUAACUUGAAGCUUCAGCUGCUGCACACCAUGGCUCGAUUGCCUGCUGCCAUUUCUUCUUGCAUGGCCACCUUUGCAUGGGAACUAAACUCAACAUACACGAACUAAUGCAAAUAUGCUAGUGGUUUAUUUUCCACCUAUCUGAUUUUUUAAAAUGUUCUUCAGUUACACCAGUUGAUGCAAUCUAUUAUUACCUGCCUCGUUGCAAAAAGGUUAGGAAAUAAAUUCACCGACAAUCAUUGGGAACUAAGAAACUUCGCAGCAAAGCUAGUGGCAUCAAUAUGCAAAAGGUGAAGAUUCUUUUCUUUUGGACUUAUACAUGCAUAUUCGUUUUUAUGAAUUUCAGGUGUCUGAGUUUUUAGUUAUAAACUUGGAUCUAUUCUUCAAAUCAUGUGUAUAUCAUUUUUAUGCUAUUUCACACUUGCAAAACAAAUGGUGCGAGCGUGCAUGUUAUAUGCAGAAUACAUAGAUUAAUUACAUGUGGAUCAUUAAGCAUGCCUAUGUUUGACGAUUGUGUGUGGCUACCUUUUUUUACAUGAUCCAAUUUUCGAUAUGCUUUGCUUUUAGGUUGAAUGCGGAAAAGAUUAGAACUUAAUUUCCAGCAUAAUGAUUUGUCUUGGAUAUGCAGAUUUUACAUGCAUUUCUUACAAGUCAAUAUUUUAUAGAUUUGGGCAUGUUUAUCACAAUCUUCAGCCACGUGUGACAAGGACACUGCUCCACGCUUUUUUGGACCCAACGAAAACAUUUCCCCAGUAUUACGGAGCAAUUCAAGGGUUAGCAGCCCUUGGACCCAGUGUGGUAUAAUUCUAAUCUCAAAUAUUUACUAGCAACACAAUAAGAUACUUGUUUGUGGGAUCAAUUGGUCAAAGAUAUUGCAAUGAUAGCCAUCUUUUUAAGCCCAUUUCUUUCAGAAAACUGUUUUGUCACUCUUUUCUGCAAGAUCCGAAGAAAGAAAGAACAUGGAAAUCUUUAGUCCAAAAGUGUAAAUAUGCGGUUUCUCUAUAGCUAUCUUGAUUAUGGCAUCUGUAAAGUUUGUCUUUCAUAUGUUUGGCUAACGCUUCUUCAUCCAUAUGUAGGUUCGUUUACUUAUACUACCAAACCUUGAAGCGUAUUUGCAGCUUCAUGAACCUGAAAUAAAAAGACACGAGGCCUGGUGUUUUUAUGGGGCCCUGCUGGUAAGUUUAACAUCAAAUUUGGUACCAGUUUACGAGCAUCAUUUCAUUUAUUUGCUAUAGAACUAACAACACUGCAUAAAAUUUCCACUAAAAGCGUGCAGCUGGACUGUGCAUGUAUGAUCGGCUUAAAAUGUUCCCCAGUUUGCUAGCACCCCCAACUCGGCCCGUCUGGAAAAGCAACAACAAAGUUGCGACAAGUAUGAUUUCUUCGAACCAUCAUAUUUACACUUAAUCCACAGGUCUCUUCUCCCCCUUUACGAUUUUCCUUUUUCUGAUCAAUCAAGAUAAACGAAAAGCAAGCACGGACGCCUUGAUGCAGCAGCAACCACCUGCGAAGAAAAUAGCAACUGAGAGUGCAAUAGGUAUGAUGCCAAUAAAUUCCAUGCAAACUGAUUUACAAGGGGCAGUUAGCAGCUUUUCUACCACCGUAGGAGGUUCCAAUAUCGGUGUAUCAUCAAUGUCACGGCCGUUAUCAAACGAUAACAUGCUAGGAAGGGAGGUUGGGGGUCGAGUUUCAAGGACAUCAACCGUUCUAGCUCAGGCUUGGAAGGAAGACACAGACCCAGGGAACUUGUUAGCAUCAUUAUUUGAACUUUUUGGUGAAAGUAUGUAAUUAAAAUAAUAUAUUGGCUUAACCCUCCUAAAUUAUGUAUUUUUUUCCAUCUUGGGACCUAAAUUUUUUUGGGGUCAUAAGUGGUACCUAAACUACAUUUUUUCUCCUUCAAAUUAGUAUCUUCAUUAAUUAAACCGUUAAGUCUAUUUAAAAAAGAAAGACUCGAACAACAAAUUAAUACCUAAACAGUGCUCUUUUUCUCAAGGUACCUAAUUUUUAUUUUGGCCAUAAGUACUACUAAAACUAUUCUUCCGUUACUCAUUUUACACCAAAAUGUUAUAUCGGCUGAAAAGAUUCCAACAAAUAAUAGAUUGUAUGUUAUAUAAACUUUUAAAAAUAAUUAUUAUUUAAUUAAUUUUUUAUAUUUUUCUUUCUUAUUCCUUUCUAAUGUUUGGCAAUGCUGAUAAUGUUUGAAAUUGUCCCACUUGAGGUCAAAAUACUGGUGAUUAAUUUUGGUUUUGAAUUUCACCACCUACUUCUUUGACCUAAGGGGAUAGAAAAUGUUCUUUUAUCGAUCAAAACUAGUAUUUUCAAAAACAGAUUGAUUCAACUGGUUGGAUAGGAAAUCGGUCUGGAAAUAAGGGUUGAAUCGAUUGACUUGCGACCAAAAACAAAUCAGUUGAACUAAGUUAAAAAAACUGGUUGAACUAGUUCUCUCCAUUUAUAUAUAUAUAAAUAAUAAUAGUCUUUUUUUGUACUAUAUGUCAAUUUUUAAUUGGUUAAUUUUUUUUUUCAUAUAAACUGAACGGUUUGACUAAUGACGGAGGUACCAAAUUAUAGUCUAGGUACCAAUUCAUGGGUUAAGCCUAUUUCUACAAUAGACUUUUGACUAAUGGCGGUAGUAACUUGGGAAAAAAAAAGUAGUUUAUGUACCACUUGUGACAAAAAAUAAGUUUAGGUACUAUCAUGGGAAAAUGAGUAUAAUUUAGAUACUAAUUUAUGAGUUAAGCCUAAUAUAUUUGCCACAUCAUUUUUUGAAAAUAACAGAACUUAAUAAAUUUAACGGUUAUUAUUUGAUGAUGACUAAAAUUUUUAAAUUUGAAAAGUACAUGAACUAAAAAUGACCAAAUUAAAGUAUAAAGAUUAAGUCCACAACUUUUGCAAAGUACAAGGACUAAUAGCAGAAAUUAACCUAAAUUUCAUAUGGGUCAAUUACAAUAAUAAUCACUAAACUAUUCCUUUGGUUCUAUUCUAGUCACUCAACUAUAGAGCUGCUCAUGAGCCGGGCCAGGUUAGGCCUAAGCAUGAUAUUAACGUACUUUAUGCUUGCUCAAGCUUGGCUCGGCCCGAAAUAUGAGCUUAAAAUUUCGCCUAAACUCAUCAAUAUUUGCAAAAGACUAACCCAAGCUCAUUUUAGGCAUGCCCAUAUAAUUUUUAGUUUUUUUUUUUUAAAUAUUUAUAUUAUAUUAUUUUAAGAAUUAAUAAUUUGAACUAUAGUAUUAUUAUAUAUUUAGUAUAAGUUUAUUUUUUAAUCUGUUCUAAAUUAUAUAAUAUAAAAUAUUAUACACUUAAAAACGGGCCGGGCUGGGCUCGAGCUUUAAAUGUUCAAGUCUUAACCCGGCCCAUAUUUUAAACGGGCUUAAUUUUUUUACCAAAACCCAAUUUUCGGGCCUAAUUUUUUUACUCAGACCCUCCCAAAUUUUGGGCUGCCCUUGGGCUUUGGCAAGUAGCCCAACUCAUGAACAAGUUUACUCAACUAUUAAUUUUUUCGAUUUAGUUGUUAACCUUUUCGAAAGUAAAUAUUUUAGUCAUUCUCCUAUUAGUUGUUGUUAAACGAGUGACGGAAAGCUGAUGUGGGCUUUUUUUAUUAGUCUAAUAACAAAUUUAGCCCUCCAAUGUUUACACAUUCUAUCAAUUUGAUCCUAGAUAUAAAAAAAUCAACAAAUUUAGCCCUGAAUGUUAACAAAACUUGUCAUUUUAGUUCAAAUUCUAAAAAAUUUAAUAAAUUUAACCCUUAAUAUUUUCAAAAAUUAGCAAUUUAGUUCUAAUUCUAAAAAUUUUAAUAUAUAUAUUUAAAAAAAUAUUUUUAAUCAUCUGUCUCACCCUUUGAUUUUUUAGAUGAGCUAAAAUCAAAAUGAGAUAAAAAAAAAUAAAAAGUUAAAAUGACUUUUCGUUUGUAAAGUUAAAAAAUGCUAAAUAAAUCAUUAUGUCUUUUUAGUUUUAAUUUUUUACUUGAUUAAAAGAGAAAUAAUUAACAAAUGAAAAAUAAUUAUUUCUAUAUAAAUUUAUCAAAAUUUAUAACAAAUGAUAUUUUAGAUUUGAAUUAUCAGACUAUAUAUAUAUAAGUAUACACAUUUUUAUGAAAUAAAAGAUUUUGCUAAAAGAAAAAGCAUCCAAUUUUAAGAAUGAAAAAUAUAUGGUAAAAGCAUCCAUAACUUUUCAAUGUUAAAGACAAAAAAGACUGUAACACCAAUGUUGUGGUAUUAUUUGUUGCCUAUAAAUACCAUUCCUAUCCUUCUUCUUCCUCUACCAACAUAACAUGGCCUCCUAUCUCUUUCUCUCCCUAUUCCUCUUCUUUCUCCAUCUUUAUGCUUCUUUUUCUUCUUCAGGAUCUCACUCCUGCUCUUCACUAAUCCAGUUUAAGGACUCCUUUUCCAUAAGAGAGGAUGCUUCUUUUGAUCAUUGCGAUUAUUUUGCUGGCCUUAAAUCUUAUCCCAAGACAAAUUCAUGGAAGGAGGGUACAGAUUGCUGCUCAUGGGAUGGGGUCACUUGUGACCACCUAAAUGCUCAUGUUAUUGCCCUUGACUUGAGCUGCAGUUGGCUAUAUGGCACCUUCCCUUCCAAUACCACUCUCUUCCUUCUUCCUCACCUUCAAAAACUCAACCUUGCCUACAAUGAUUUUAAUUCUUCCAAAAUUCCAUCCGAGUUCGGUCGGUUUACAAGCCUAUUCUACCUCAACCUUUCCAAUACAUGGUUUUCAGAAGUCCCAUCCCAAGUCUCCCACCUGUCAAAAUUGGUUUCACUUGAUCUUUCUGGGUUUGAUGAACUAUUAACAAUUGACAAAUAUGCUCUGGAGGGUCUUGUUCACAACCUAACCGAGGUCAGACGUCUGUUUUUGGAUGAAAUGGACAUGUCUUCAGUUAAUGCUCAUGUCUUCAUGAAUCUAUCCUCUUCUCUAAGGUCUCUCAGUCUUGUUGGUUGUGAUUUGCAAGGAAAAUUCCCAAAAAACAUUUUUGAUUUGCCAAACCUCAAUCUCCUCAACUUGGGAGGCAACCAAAACCUCAAUCUUGAUCCUUUGAAGUUCAAUCGGAGCAGCAAUCUUGAACAAUUGAUAAUUUCAGACGCAAAUAUUUGUGGAGGAUUGCCUGACUCGAUGGGGAAUCUUGUGUCCUUGAAGUUUUUAGUUCUCUCCCAUUCCAACUUAUCAGGACUGGUUCCAAGAUCACUGGGGAAUCUCUUGAAACUCACUCAUUUAGACUUGUCGGAGAACCAAUUGAGUGGACAAAUUCCAAGAAAAUUGGGGAACCUCUUGCAACUCACUCAUUUAGACUUGUCGAAGAACCAAUUGAGUGGACAAAUUCCAAGAUCAUUAGGGAACCUCUUGCAACUCACUCAUUUAGACUUGUGGCUGAACCAAUUGAGUGGACAGAUUCCAAGAUCAUUGGGGAACCUCUUGCAACUCACUGUUUUAGACUUGGGAUGGAACAAAUUGAGUGGACAAAUUCCAUUGUCAAUUCUAAACCUAACGCAGCUGGAAUACUUGACAAUAUCUAACAAUUCUUUAGAAGGUUCCAUUCCAGAUGAGGUAACCGCUUUUCAUAAUCUAAUAUAUUUAGACUUAUCUGACAAUUUACUCAAUGGAACACUGCCGUCAUGGUUGUAUACUGCUCCCUCCUUAAAGACAAUAUAUCUCUCUCAAAAUCAAUUCAGUGGGCAUAUCAAAGAAUUCCAAUCCAAAUCACUAGAAUGGAUAUGGUUAGAGAAUAAUAAACUCCAAGGUCCUCUUCCAUCUUCAAUAUUCCAACUUCUCAAUCUUACCCAACUUAGCUUAUCCUCAAAUUAUCUUAGUGGUGUCAUAGAGUUUCGCAUGUUCUCAAACCUUCCAAAUCUCGAAUAUCUUGACCUUUCAUAUAACAGCCUAUCCUUAACAUCUAAUACAACUUCUACUGUUAAUCUUACAAGCUUAUUUUUGUCAUCUUGCAAUCUUAGUGAAUUCCCCCAAUUUUUAAAAGGGCUUAAAAGUUUGGAAAGCUUAGACCUCUCUUGCAACAAAAUUGAAGGCAAGAUUCCACAGUGGAUGCGAGAGGUGGGGAAUGGCUCUUUGACUCACUUAAAUGUAUCUCACAACACUUUGACAGAAGUUGAGCACUUUCCAUGGAAGAAUAUUGAUGUUCUUGACUUAAGCUCCAAUUUGAUCAGUGGAAAUCUUCCGAUUCCAGCUUCGACCAUAAGAGUCUUUUUGAUCUCAAAUAAUAGUUUCAAUGGAGAGGUCUCUUCUUUAAUAUGCAAUGCCGCUUUUCUUGAAAUUCUUGAUUUGUCCCACAAUAACUUGAGUGGAACAAUUCCACAAUGUUUUGGAAAUUUGAGCAACAGCCUUCUAUUCUUGAAUCUGAAGAAGAACAAGUUUUAUGGGACGAUUCCUCCAGCAUUUGCAAAGGGAUGCCGAUUGAGUAAUUUCAACUUAAAUGGAAAUCUGUUAGAAGGGCCUUUGACACCAUCCAUGAUCCAUCCUUAAUUGUAAUGGUCUGGAAGUGCUAGAUCUUGGUAACAACAAGAUCAAUGAUACAUUUCCUCAUUGGUUGGGAAGUCUUCCACAGCUACAAGUUCUUGUAUUGAAGUCAAAUCAACUGCAUGGUUCCUUAUGUGUCAAUAGCUCCAAGUCUAUCCCUUUUUUCUCUAAAAUCCAAAUUUUUGAUCUCUCAAGUAAUUAUUUUUCUGGACCCCUACCAGUGAGAUACAUCAACAGCUUCAAGGCUAUCAUAAAUCUAGAGAAGAUUGGGAGUACAAUGUCGUACAUGGGGGUGUAUGCUCAGAGAGGUAGUGCCUUCUAUACCCAUUCCAUUGGAAUUGUUAUGAAAGGACAAGAUAGGGAAUUGGUGAAAAUUUUCACCAUGUGGAUGAUCAUUGAUCUAUCAAACAAUCAGUUUCAAGGGGGUAUUCCAAAGGUUAUUGUGAAGCUUAACUUGCUGAAAGGGCUCAACCUUUCUCAUAAUAACCUUAAUGGUGGUAUCCCCACCUCAAUAGGGAAUUUGACAAGUCUUGAAUGGUUAGACCUAUCUUCAAACAGUUUGUCUGGGACGAUUCCAAAUAGAUUGGCAGAUCUGCCAUUUCUUUCGUCCUUCAAUGUUUCUGAAAAUCAACUCCAUUGUCAGAUUCCUCAAGGCAAACAGUUCAACACAUUUGGAAAUGAUUCAUAUGAAGGAAACAAGGGAUUAUGUGGAUUUCCGGUCUCAAAAGGUUGCAACAUCAUUGAGCCAGCACCUCUAAAUGUGCUUGAAAAAGAUGGCUCAAAAUCAAACAUUACUUUUGGUUGGAAAGUGGUGUUGAUAGGUUAUGGAUGCGGAGUGGUGUUCGGAAUGUCCGUGGGAUAUGUUGUUUUCCAAACUGGUAAGCCGAAAUGGUUGGUGAAUUUGGUUGAAAUCCAACAUGAGAAGAAGCGAAGAAGAAAGUCAAAGGAUGGCAGUCGCAGCAAUGGAUGAAGAAGGAUCUAGUUAGUGGAAAUGAUGUUCAAGUGUUGAUGUUGUAUCUUCAUAAUUUCUUGUUUUGAAGUCUUUCAAUUUUUUUCCUAUGGUGAAAGGUUGCAUUGCCAUGCAUCUGUCUUUACUUUUGUAACAAUUCAUCUGUCAUAAUAUUAUAGAUUUUAUUGAUUUUAAUUUUUUCUCUAAUUUUUAAUAAAAAUAGGGGCAUAAUUGCUUUUUUUUUUUAAGUUUGAGAGUAUUUUUUAUGCAUUUUGAAAGUUCAAGUACCAAAUUGAGUGCAAAAAAAAAAAGAGUAGGGGCUUAAUUACUUUUUUUGAAAAUGUUUGAGAGCUUUUUUGAUGUAUCAAAUGAAAUACAAAUUUUGAGUAAAUCAACUAUUCAUUUUUAUGAAUAAAAAUUAUAUGGUAAAAAGGAAGUAGUGUUAAUAAUAAUAAAAAAGAUCAACAAUAGAAAACUAAUAAAGCAAUUUAGCCUAUGAUCUGCGCAAUAUAUUACUACAAAUGUACUGUACAAAAUAUUGAAGAAAACUAAUAAAGAAAUCUGAAAUUUUAACAAGUUCCGCAAAUAAUGUUUAUGAUUUGCUGUAAAUUGAUAUGUCAAAUUAGGCUCUCCAUCACACUUAAAAGUUUAUUUUCGAGCAAUUUAGAUAUCUUUGUUGCGUUUUUAUUUUGUUUUAGUUGUUUAUAUUAAUAAAUGAUUAGUGUGCAUUUUGAUGCUAUUUUAAGACCUGAGAUGGCCAAAUGGCACCCGGGGAAUCUAAUGAGGUUGGUGAGUGAUGCAGAGAGCCCAUGGUGGCCCGGAAGGAACGAAAAUGUUACCUAGAAAGAGGGUAUCGCAUUUCAAAGCAUGAAAGUCGUAAUACCCAUAACAAUGUUAAAAACAAGGAAGAUUGAGCCAUCAACAAUGUUAUCGUGAUACCGGUCAUAAGAUAUCGCGAUACCCAAAACUUCCAAGGAUCCCCCAAGACUGUUGUGGAUAUCGCGAUACCAAACUUUGGGUAUCGCAAUAUCAUUGAUGAGAGGAGACAAAAUAUAACUGUAGGGGUAAUCCUUUUCCAACAUGUGGAAUGGCCAUGGGAUGUGUUGUUUUCCAAACCGGUAAGGCGAAAAGGUUCGUGAAUUUGGCUGAAGACCAACAUGAGAAGAGGCGAAGAAGAAAGCCAAAAUAUAGCAAUCGCAUCAAUGGAUGAAGAAGGAUCUAGUUGGUUCAAAUGAAGUUAAAGCAUUUGUGCUGUGUCUUCAUAAUUUCUUGUUUAGUAGUCUGUCAGAAAGUUUUUCCUAUGGUGAAAAGUUGCAUUGCUAUGUGUCUGUUUUUAUGAUUGUACCAAUUCCUCUGUAUUUCAUUGCAUUUCGUACUAUUUGUAAGGGUUUAGUUCAGUGUAACAUCUUGUAUGGUGCAACUAUGUAUGUCUUCUUUCUUGAAUUUCAACUUUUAGUAAACAUUAUACUGCUCACCAUAAAAAAAAUACAUGUAGAAUUACAAAAGAUUCAAUUAUUCAAGUUUGAGUUGCAUUUAUAAACAUGUGAUGAUGAGAAUUCAUGAACAAAAGGUAUGGUUUGAGCCCUUUUGCAAUAUGCGUUUAUGUUGCAUUUACCUAUAUAUCUAUCGACAAAUUUAAGAGUAAUAUUUACAAUAGCAUUGCAGAGUAACAUAUUUACGAUUGGAUUACACAGUCAAAAGAUUGCAGCAACGAUGAGAUUAAUCCAAUUACAGGAAUUGAUAUCCUAAAUGGCUUUUAGGUACGUAGCUUCAUUGACGGUACAAACUAGUUAAAAUUUCCAGAAUUCAUGUCUUUGUUUUCCCUCAAGUAAACGUAGUCAAUACUGCAAAUGGUGUGGAAGUAUUGUACAUUGUGGCCCAAAUGUCCAAAAUUUCCACAUUGCUUGUAAAUUAAGUGAUGAAAACCAAAACUGUUUGAGGCAUCCAAUUACCCACAGAGAUAGGAAGUAAGGACGCAUGUAUAAUUAUUAUCAUUAAUUAAAGCAUAUAUAAUUACAUUAAAUAUAGGAUAAACUAUAAAAAUAAUCACUUUUAUUUACCUCAUAUUACAUUUUAGUCACUUAUGUUUGAAAUGUUACAUUUUGGUCACUUACGUUAUCGUUUUGGUACGAAGUGGUCACUCUACCGUUAAGCUCCGUUACCUCCCUAACGGCGAUUCUACGUGAUAGUCCAAAUGAGUUUUAAAUGCCAACUUAAAUGUCUUGCGUGGCUGUCUAAAUUAAAUUUAUUUAAUUAAAAACUUAUUUUCAUCUCAACAACCGGACAUUCAAGUUCGCAUUUAAAACCCAUUUAGACUGCCACGUAGGACUGCCGAUAGGGAGGUAACAGAGUUUGAUAGUAGAGUAACCACUUCAUAACAAAACGAUAAUGUAAGUGGCUAAAACAUAACAUUUCAAACAUAAGUAAUUAAAAUAUAAUAUAAGGUAAACAAGCCUUAAAUAUAUAAAUUACUAUGAUUACUAUCAAGAUAGCAUUGACCUGUUCAACAGGCGGAACCAAUAGAUCUGACCAUUUGGUGACUCUAGCAGUCGAUAAGUGUGAGUGGCAGACUGUGCAACUUGUAACUAUGUUAAUUGAUGAAAAGCUUUUUGAUAGAAGAUAAUAAACUAGUGGCAAUGGCAAACGGUUCCAAGACGAGGUGGGACACCGAGGCUUUGUGUAACAGGGGAAUAGAUGCACUCAAUGCUGGCGGCUGUUGACUUGUAUUUCUCUCUAACAAUUUAAAUCACCAGCUUGCUUCAUCCAUCUAUAAAUAAGGGUCUUCUUCAGUUUCAUAAAUGCAUAGAAAAUUAACAAGCUCAAAUUCCUUCUUUUCAUAUUCAUCUCUUUUACUUUGAAUUGCAACUUUAUCCUGCCUAAAUUCCUCAACCAUGAACCACCCAUCAGGACAGCCUCAAAAUGAACUUCCUUGGUCCGCCGGAUUCUGCGAUUGUUGCUCUGACCUGAAAACUUGUAACCCUUUCUUCUUUCUUCAAUAUCAGUUCUGUCUUUUUAAUUAUAUGAAUUAGUUUAUCAAUUAAAUAUAUGGACAUUUCAGGUUGCAUUUCAUACUGGUGCCCAUCCAUCACCUUUGGCCAGAUUGCUGAGAUUGUUGAUAAAGGGUCGACUUGUAAGUUAUUAAUUUCUAAAUUGAAAUCUUAUCAUCUUAGGUUUUGCAGACAUAUAUAUAUUUAAAGAGAUAUUAUGUAAUUAAUAAUAAUGUUGAAAAACACUGUUGGAUGGUGCAGCAUGUCGGGCAAGUAGGGCACUAUACACAUUAAUAAUGUUCAUCACCGGGUGUGGGUGCUUAUAUUCUGGCUGCUACCGAUGCAAACUGAGAAAGCAGUAUAACUUGAAAGGAGGCGAUUGUGGCGAUUGCAUGCGUCAUUUCUGCUGCGAGCCUUGUGCCUUGACACAAGAGUAUCGUGAGCUCCAGAACCGUGGAUUCGACAUGUCUAUCGGUAUGUCUACAUACCAAUAUUAUACCCCUUUUAAUUAUUCUUAAUAUAACUUCAAGUAUAUUAAUUGAGUAGCUGUAAACAAAUAUCUCCGAAUAAAUAUGUUGGUAAUGAUGAGAUAAAUUAUUGUUUGAGGUCAUUAAUUUUGUGGGGGUAUAUUUAUAUAUGCAGGUUGGCAUGCAAAUGUGGAGAAGAACCCAGGGCUGGCAAUGGCUCCAGCGGUAGAAAAAGGCAUGAGCAAAUAGAUGAUGAUGAUGAUGAGACCACUGCAUUAAUAUCAUCUUUACAUGUAACACUUAAUUCCUUGGCUUUCCAUAAUUGGUUGAUUGUACGGCUUGCCAAUUGAAUUUCAAGUUAUGUAUGUUUGUGAUUGUCAAAUAUAUUAAUAAAAAGUGUUACUAUUCAUGUUAGAUCUUCAUGAAUAAGAAUGAGAAUCGAAAAUAACUUGUAAUAUUGUGUGUGCAUGUUUGGUAUUUAGGUGAAAUACUUAGAAAGAGAGGUUGGAUUAAAUUAAUUUUUUAUUAUCAAAAUGGAUGAUUUUAAUUUUUAUAUUAAUAAAAAGAAUUAAAUAAAAUUAAUAUUUAUUGUUUUAGAAAAUGACAUCAAAUUAUUGUUUUUUAUAGUUCAAUCCAAAUAAAAUAUCUACAAAAUCAUUAAAAACUUUUAAAAUGUGACUUUGUUAAAUAGUAAAUAGCAUUUUUUUAAAAGGGUUCAUAUAUAUCGUGAUACCUAAAGUUGGCAACUUCUACUUAGUAUCUAAAUCGGUACAUAAACUUGAAAAUUGUAAGUCAACUUCGUAUUUUUAUAAGUAUGAUGAUGUUGGUGUAGUGUGAGGAAGAAGACUUGAAUGGGUUUGAUUAUUUUUAAUAAUACAGGAAUUUACAUAUUAUAAGUAAAUAGACACUCACAUUCUUUAUGUAUUAUAAGGAAGAAGACUAAGUCGAUCUACUUUGUAAUCUCAUCAAUCUUAAUUUUCUCAAUUGUUAAGGGAGUUCAAAUGAAAUACAAAAUUUUGGUAAAAAAAAGUAUCCAAUUUUGUGAAUAAAAAAUAUAUGGUAAAAAAGAUUUGGUAUCGAUACUUCGGCGCGGGUAUCAAUACUCGAUACAUUGCUUUUGGUUGGAAAGUAGUGUCUGGAACGGCCAUGGGAUGUGUUGUUUUCCAAACCGGUAAGGCGAAAAGGUUUGUGAAUUUGGUUGAAGACCAACAUGAGAAGAGGCGAAGAAGAAAACCAAAAUAUAGCAAUCGCAUCAAUGGAUGAAGAAGGAUCUAGUUGGUGCAAAUGAAGUUAAAGCAUUUGUGCUGUGUCUUCAUAAUUUCUUGUUUAGUAGUCUGUCAGAAAGUUUUUCCUAUGGUGAAAAGUUGCAUUGGUAUGUGUCUGUCUUUAUGAUUGUACCAAUUCCUCUGUAUUUCAUUGCAUUUCGUACUAUUUGUAAGGGUUUAGUUCGAGUGUAACAUCUUGUAUGGUGCAACUAUGUAUGUCUUCUUUCUUGAUUAUUGAAAUUAUAAUCAAAAUUAAUACAUGUUCUUUUUAUUAGCUUAAGGGCGUAAAAACACUUCAAAAUUUUCAAAAAAUAAAAUAAAAUUUUAAGUCCCUCUUUUUUUUACACUCAAUUGAAAUUUUUAAAAUGUAUCAAAAAUAUCUUUACAGUUCUUCAAAAAAAAAAACAAUUAAACCCCUAUUUUUUUUCCGCUCAAUUGGGUACUUGAACUUUCAUAAUGCAUCAAAAAUGCCUUAAAUUUUUUUCAAAAAAGCAAUUAAGCCCCUACUCUUAUUAAAAAUUAGAAAAAAAUCAUAAAAAUAAUAAAUUUUAGAAAAAAUUAUUAAAUUUUAAUAAAAAUUUAAAAUUUUAUUAAAAAUUAGAAUUUUUUUUUAGAAAAAUCGUCAAAAAAUAAAAAAUUAUAAAAUCCAUCAAAAAGUUUUAACAAUUAACUUUAACUAUUGAUCGUUAAAGUUAACGACCUCUAGUUUUUUCAAUUAAAGUCAUUAUGUGUCGCAACUCAACGUGACAUGUAGCGAAAAUAGAUAAAAAAGUAAAAAUCAAUAAAAGUUAUAGAAAAAUUAUAAAAUAUUUCUUUUGGUAGAAUAAUUUUUAUAAAUUUUUUUUACAAAAUUUAUAUUUCUUUACAUUUUGUAUAAUUUUCUUAUAACUUUAUAAAAUUUUAUAAAUUUUUAUAUUUCUAUAUAUUUUAAAAUUUUUUAAAAUUUUUAUAAAAUUUUACAAUUUUUAUAUAUUUUUAAUAAAUUUUUAAUAUUUGAUUUUUUAUUAAAAUUUAAUAAUAUUAUAGAUUUUAUUGAUUUUAAUUUUUUAUCUAAUUUUUAAUAAAAUUAGGGGGUUAAUUGCUUUUUUUUUAAGUUUGAGGGUCUUUUUGAUGCAUUUUGAAAGUUCAAGUACCCAAUUGACUGCAAAACAAAAAGAAAAAAAGUAGGGGCUUAAUUGCUUUUUUUGAAAAUGUUUGAGGGCUUUUUUGAUGUAUUUUGAAAGUUCAAGUACCCAAAUGAGUGCAUAAAAAGAACAGGGGUUUAGUUGCUAUUUUGAAAAAGUUUGAGGGCUUUUUGCACCUUUAAACCUCUUUUCUUUUUCUAAAUUUAAUUUAGAACCAACUUUGUGUAAAGACUUGGGAAAUUUAAUUAGCAAAAUUUCUUUCCAUGUAAAAAUUUCCCCUAUUUCUUGUUUGAAUUUAAAGCAAUACAAUAUUUUUCUAGCAAAUAAUAGAAAAUGACAGUCAAUUAAUUCCAGCAAUACAACAUUUCCAGUCUGGUGGAAAACAGCUAGGGACCAAAUUUUUAAAGUGUUGUUUACUACACACUUAGGGACCAUAUAUGUAUAUAUAUAUAUUCCAGUCUGGGUCUUUGUCGUGUUUUGUUGGUUGGCUAUGGCCUUCUUGUUGUUUCAUGGCCACUGCCCGUGAAUUAAGUCAUAUGUGGCCUUGUUUGCUAGACCUUAGUUGCUAAGUUAAAGGGAGUGAAUAGAGCACCAUAUUUCUUCUUCUGCGUGGAAAAUAAGUUGGCAUUAUGCCAAAUUCCACAUUCAUACAUAGAAAGGAAGCAAGGCCAAGUCAUUAUACUUUGUAAUCUCAUCAAUUCUAAUUAUUUCACUUCUUCAUUCUUUAGGGAGUUCAAGUGAAAUACAAAUUUUUCCACAUCCAAUCUCAUAAAUAAUCCGUCUUUGAACUUUCACAAAAAAAUAUUAAAUACCCAUUCACUUUAAUUCUACUAUUCUUAAAUCAUUCAAGUUUUGUGGAAAAUAUGCUUCUUGGAUAAAAUUAUUCAACACACAUGCCUUGAAUUUUAUGCAAUAAAAUAAAUCAAUAUAGGCCACACAUGCUUUGAAUAUUUAAGUAGUCCACAAUUUUGUUCGUUUGUGUGCAAAAUUCUACAUUGCUUGACAGCCAUACAUUCUAAGUAAAUAGACACCCACAUUGUUUACGUAUUAUGAAGAAGAAGACUAAGUCAGUCUACUUUGUAAUCUCAUCAAUCUUAAUUUUCUCAGUUAUUUAGGGAGUUCAAAUGAAAUACAAAAUUUUGGGAAAAAAAAUGUAUCCAAUUUUGUGAAUGAAAAAUAUAUGGUAAAAAGGAUUUGGUAUGGAUACUUCGGCUCGGGUAUCAAUACUCAGGGUAAGUUUAUCGAUACAUUGCUUUUGGUUGGAAAGUGGUGUUGAUAGGUGAUGACUAAAAUUUGAUAAAUUUGAAAAGUACAUGAAAUUUAACGAUUAUUGUUUGGUGAUGACUAAAAUUUUAAAAUUUGAAAAGUACAUGAACUAAAAAUGACCAAAUUAAAGUAUAAAGAUUAAGUCCACAACUUUUGCAAAGUACAAGGACUAAUAGCAGAAAUUAACCUAAAUUUCAUAUGGGUCAAUUACAAAAAUAAUCACUAAACUAUUCCUUUGGUUCUAUUCUAGUCACUCAACUAUAGAGGUGCUCAUGGGCUGAGCCAGGUCAAGCCUAAGUAUGAUAUUAAUGUAUUUUAUACUUGCUCAAGCUUGGCUCGGCCUGAAAUAUGAGCUUAAAAUUUUGCCUGAACUCAUCCAUAUUUGCAAAAGACUAACCCAAGCUCAUUUUAAGCAUGCCUAUAUAAUUUUUAAUUUUUUUUAAAUAUUUAUAUUAUAUUAUAUUAAUUAAUAAUUUAAACAUUUUUUAUUUAUUAAAAUUUUUUAUAGUCAUUUUAACAUUAUUUUAAUGUUUACAUUAUAGUAUUAUUAUAUAUUUAGUAUAAGUAUUUUUUUAAUAUGUUCUAAUUUAUAUAAUAUAAAGUAUUAUACACUUAAAAACGGGCCGGGCUGGGCUUGAGCUUUAGUUGUUACUCAACUAUUAAUUUUUUCGAUUUAGUUGUUAACCUUUUCAAAAGUAAAUAUUUUAGUCAGUCUCCUAUUAGUUGUUGUUAAAUGAGUGACGGAAAGCUAAUGUGAGCUUUUUUUAUUAGUCUAAUAACAAAUUUAGCCCUCCAAUGUUUACACAUUCUAUCAAUUUGAUCGUAAAUAUAAAAAAAAAAUCAACAAAUUUAGCCCUGAAUAUUAACAAAACUUGUCAUUUUAGUUCAAAUUCUAAAAAAUUUAAUAAAUUUAACCUUUAAUAUUUUCAAAAAAAUAGCAAUUUAGUUCUAAUUCUAAAAAUUUUAAUAUAUAUAUUUAAAAAAAUAUUUCUAAUCCUCUGUCUCACCCUUUGAUUUUUUAGAUGAGCUAAAAUCAAAAUAUAUCAUUAUGUCUUUUUGUUUUAAUGCUAAAAGAGAUAAAAAAAAAUGGAAAGCUAAAAUGGCUUUUCGUUUGUGAAGUUACAAAAUGCCAAAUAAAUUAUUAUGUCUUUUUAGUUUUAAUUUUUUACUUGAUUAAAAGAGAAAUAAUUAACGAAUGAAAAAUAAUUAUUCACAAAUAAAUUUAUCAGAAUUUAUAACAAAUGAGAUUUUAAAUUUGAAUUUAUAAAUCAAAAUUUAUAUAUAUAUAUAUAUAAAAGAAAACACAUUUUUAUGAAAUAUAAGAUUUUGUUAAAAGAAAGAGCAUAUAAAAGCAUACACGUUUUUAUGAAAUACAAGAUUUUGCUAAAAGAAAAAGCAUCCAAUUUUAAGAAUGAAAAAUAUAUGGUAAAAGCAUCCAUAACUUUUCAAUAUAAAAGAAAAAAAAGACUAACACCAAUGUUGUGGUAUUAUUUGUUGCCUAUAAAUACCAUUCCUAUCCUUCUUCUUCCUCUACAAACAUAACAUGGCCCCCUAUCUCUUUCUCUGCCUAUUCCUCUUCUUUCCCCAUCUUUAUGCUUCUUUUCUUCUUCAGAAUCUCACUCCUGCUCUUCACUAAUCCAGUUUAAGGACUCUUUUUCCAUCACAAAGGAUGCUUCCUGGUAUUUCGAUUAUAUUACUGGCCUUAAAUCUUAUCCCAAGACAAAUUCAUGGAAGGAGGGUACAGAUUGCUGCUCAUGGGAUGGGGUCACUUGUGACCACCUAAAUGCUCAUGUUAUUGCCCUUGACUUGAGCUGCAGUUGGCUAUAUGGCACCUUCCCUUCCAAUACCACUCUCUUCCUUCUUCCUCACCUUCAAAAACUCAACCUUGCCUACAAUCAUUUUAAUUCUUCCAAAAUUCCAUCCGAGUUCGGUCGGUUUACAAGCCUAUUCUACCUCAACCUUUCCAAUACAUGGUUUUCAGAAGUCCCAUCCCAAGUCUCCCACCUGUCAAAAUUGGUUUCACUUGAUCUCUCCUCUCGGAUUGAUUACUCUGGGCAAGUUACAAUUGACAAACAUGCUCUGGAGGGACUUGUUCACAACCUAACCGAGGUCAGACAUCUGUUUUUGGAUGGAAUCAACAUGACUUCUGUUAAUGCUCAUGUCUUCAUGAAUCUAUCCUCUUCUCUAAGGUCUCUCAGUCUUGCUUUUUGUGAUUUGCAAGGAAAAUUCCCAAAAAACAUUUUUGAUUUGCAAAACCUCAAUCUCCUCAACUUGAGAUACAACCAAUUGAGUGGACAAAUUCCAAGAUCAUUGGGGAACCUCUUGCAACUCACUCAUUUACACUUGUCGGGGAACCAAUUGAGUGGACAAAUUCCAUUGUCAAUUCUAAACCUAACGCAGUUGGAAUACUUGGAAAUAUCUGAAAAUUCUUUAGAAGGUUCCAUUCCAGAUGAGGUAACCGCUUUUCCUAAUCUAAUAUAUUUAUACUUAUCUGACAAUUUACUCAAUGGAACACUUCCGUCAUGGUUGUAUACUGCUCCCUGCUUAAAGGAAAUAUAUCUCUCUCAAAAUCAAUUCAGUGGGCAUAUCAAAGAAUUCCAAACCAAAUCACUAGAAUAUUUAUAUCUAGAAAAUAAUAAACUCCAAGGUCCCCUUCCAUCUUCAAUAUUCCAACUUCUCAAUCUUACCGGGCUCCUUUUAUCCUCAAAUAAUCUUAGUGGUGUCAUAGAGUUGAGCAUGUUCUCAAACCUUCCAAAUCUCAAAUAUCUUGACCUUUCAUAUAACAGCCUAUCCUUAAUAUCUAAUACUACUUCUACUGUUAAUCAUAUAUUGCCUAAUCUUACAGGCUUACAUUUGUCAUCUUGCAAUCUUAGUGAAUUCCCCCAGUUUUUAAAAGGGCUUAAAAGUUUGGAAAGCUUAGACCUCUCUUGCAACAAAAUUGAAGGCAAGAUUCCACAGUGGAUGCAAGAGGUGGGGAAUGUCUCUUUGACUUACUUCAACGUAUCUCACAACUCUUUGACAGAAGUUGAGCACUUUCCAUGGAAGAAUAUUGAAAGUCUUGACUUAAGCUCCAAUUUGAUCAGUGGAAAUCUUCCGAUUCCAGCUUCGACCAUCAAUGUCUUUCUGAUCUCAAAUAAUAGUUUCAAUGGAGAGGUCUCUUCUUUAAUCUGCAAUGCCAGUGAUCUUGAAAUUCUUGAUUUGUCCCACAAUAACUUGAGUGGAACAAUUCCGCAAUGUUUUGGAAAUUUGAGCAACAGCCUUGAAUUCUUGAAUCUGAAGAAGAACAAGUUCUAUGGGACGAUUCCUCCAAAAUUUGCAAAGGGAUGCCGAUUGACUAAUUUCAACUUAAAUGGAAAUCUGUUAGAAGGGCCAUUGACUCCAUCCAUCCUUAAUUGUAGGGGUCUGGAAGUGCUAGAUCUUGGUAACAACAAGAUCAAUGAUACAUUUCCUCAUUGGUUGGGAAGUCUUCCACAGCUACAAGUUCUUGUAUUGAAGUCAAAUCAUAUGCAUGGUUCCUUAUGUGUCAAUAGCUCCAAGUCUAGCCCUUUUUUCUCUAAAAUCCAAAUUUUUGAUCUCUCAAGUAAUUAUUUUUCUGGACCCCUACCAGUGAGAUACAUCAACAGCUUCAAGGCUAUCAUAAAUCUAGAGAAGAUUGGUAGUACAGUGUCGUACAUGGGGGUGAAUGAUGGCUUCUAUACCUAUUCCAUUGGAAUUGUUAUAAAAGGACAAUAUAUGGAAUUGGUGAAAAUUUUCACCAUGUGGAUGAUCAUUGAUCUAUCAAACAAUCAGUUUGAAGGGGGUAUUCCAGAGGUUUUUGGGAAGCUUAACUUACUGAAAGGGCUCAACCUUUCUCAUAAUAACCUUAAUGGUGGUAUCCCCACCUUAAUAGGGAAUUUGACAAGUCUUGAAUGGUUGGACCUAUCUUCAAACAGGUUGUCUGGGACGAUUCCAAAUAGAUUGGCAGAUCUGCCAUUUCUUUCGUCCUUCAAUGUUUCUGAAAAUCAACUCCAUGGUCAGAUUCCUCAAGGCAAACAGUUCAACACAUUUGGAAAUGAUUCAUAUGAAGGAAACAAGGCAUUAUGUGGAUUUCCGGUCUCAAAAGGUUGCAACAUCAUUGAGCCAGCACCUCCAAAUGUGCUUGAAAAAGAUGGCUCAAAAUCAAACAUUACUUUUGGUUGGAAAGUGGUGUUGAUAGGUUAUGGAUGCGGAGUGGUGUUCGGAAUGUCCGUGGGAUAUGUUGUUUUCCAAACUGGUAAGCCGAAAUGGUUGGUGAAUUUGGUUGAAAUCCAACAUGAGAAGAAGCGAAGAAGAAAGUCAAAGGAUGGCAGUCGCAGCAAUGGACGAAGAAGAAUCUAGUUAGUGGAAAUGAUGUUCAAGUGUUGAUGUUGUAUCUUCAUAAUUUCUUGUUUUGAAGUCUGUCAAAUUUUUUUCCUAUCGUGAAAGGCUGCAUUGCCAUGCAUCUGUCUUUUUUAUUGUAACCAUUCAUCUAUAUUUCAUUGCAUUACGUAGUAUUUGUAAGGGUUUGUUUUAAAUGUAACAUUUUGUAUGGUUCAACUAUUUAUGUCUCUUUCAUGAGUUUCAUUUUUGAGUCUCAAUAAUCUCUGCAUUCAAGAUUUUGUCAGCUUAUUAAUUGGUGGAUCAAUAAUCUUCAUGCUCAUCUCAUCAUCUUUUUCUCGAGUUAAACACAGUCACUACUAUAAUAAUUUCUUCUGUGUGGAAAAUAAUUUGGCAUUCUGCAAAUUUCCACAAUGCUUGUGGAUUACCUCUGGUUGACGGCUAUACAUAUAAAGGAAGGAAACAAGACUAUGUCAAAAUUUCCAAAAAUCAGUCAUUCAUUUUUGAACAAUUAAACAUUCGUAUUCUAUUUUUCAAAAUUGUAAAUCCUCAAAUAAUGUAAAUUAGUCCUAAAACUCAAGUUUUGAAAUCUUUACAAUUUAACCCCUUAUAGUUUCAAACUUUACUAUUUUAUGCUCAACUUUCUAAAUCUUCAUAUUUCAUGAUCAUAUAAUUUAGUUAUUACAUCAAUAUUUCAGAUUUCACUACUCAAACCCUUACUUCAUUUUGGUCCUUACUUCAAUUUUAUCAAAUUAAAUCAUUUUUCAAUUUGAAUGCAUUGAUGUGAAAUUAAGGGACCACUAAACAAUGUUGAUGCGAGUUUAGGCAAAAUUGGUGGAUCCCAUCUCCACAGCAAUUUCUUUAUGGAAGUACUUGCUUUCACACUGCAAACUUGGAUAGUUUGUGGUGGACGAUGAUGAAUCAUUUCACAAUCAAACACACCAUUUUUAAACACAUAUAUUGAAAUCAUUAUUAAAAUUAUAAUCAAAAUUAAUACAAGUUCUUUUUAUUAGCUUAAGGGCGUAAAAACUCUUCAAAAUUUUCCAAAUAAAAAAUAAAAAAUUUAAGUCCCUCUUUUUUUUUUACACUCAAUUGAGUACUUAAACUUUUAAAAUGUAUCAAAAAUAUCUUAACACUUCUUCAAAAAAAGCAAUUAAACCCCCUUUUUUUUCCGCUCAAUUGGGUACUUGAAUUUUCAUAAUGCAUCAAAAAUACCUUAAUUUUUUUUUCAAAGAAACAAUUAAGCCUCUAUUUUUUUCCUACUCAACUAGGUACUUGAACUGUCAAAAAAACAAUUAAGCACCUACUCUUAUUAAAAAUUAGAAAAAAAAUCAUAAAAAUAAGAAAAAUUUAGAAAAAAUUAUUAAAUUUUAAUAAAAAUUUAAAAACUUAUUAAAAAUUAGAAAAAAUUUUAGAAAAAUUGUCAAAAAAUAAAAAAUUAUAAAAUUUUAUAAUUAAGCACUCUUAAAAUUUUGAAAAUUCUCAUUAAUCUCACACAAAUUUAAAAUUUUUUAUUAGACCCCCAAUUUUUUUUAAAAAUGUUAUUAAACCCUUAAAUUUUUAGAAAAUUUUACCUGCCCCCUCCCAAAAAAAAAACUAGUCCCAACUCUUAGGAUCCGCCAUUGGUACUUGGUAUUAACACUAUUAGAAAAUUGCUAAAUCAACCAAUGAAAAUUUGACACAUGGAACCCUUUUUUUAAAUUAUCAAGUUACGGAUGUUCUUCAAGGGCAUGGAACUCAACUUGAAAAUUUUACUAAUUUGGUUGCAAAAAACAUUGAGGAAGCAUAUAAUGAUCUAACCCUUUUUUGUUUUGUUCUGUUUUUAAUUUGUUAUGGGAUUCUAUUGAAUGAUAAUUUUUUUUAUUUCCCAUACUUGGUUCUUCAACAACAACAUAUUCGAGAUUUUAUUUUUCUAGAAUUUUUAUAUAAAAGUUUGUAUUUUUUAAAAUAAUUUUGAGUUUUUUAUAAUUUUUAUAUAGAAUCGAGGUAAAUUGGCAAAAAAUUAUAAAAAACAAAAUACUAAAAUUGUUUAGUUAAGUGACCAAAGCGAAGAUCUACCCAUAGUUCAGUGGCUAAUUAUGUAGUUUACCCUUUCAUAAUUAAAAAAAUAGUUGUUCAGUUUUUCUUGUAUUAGAUAACAUUUUAGAUGGUAAAAACCCUCUUUAGUCCCUCUCAAUUUUGAUAUUAAGUAAAUUGGUCCAUUUUUUUUUAAAAAAAUCAAAGCAAUUUAAUCUUUGUUAAUUUCGAAAGUGAGCAACUAAGGACAAUUAAUCACAAUGUCAAUAUUUUCCAUCAAUUGUACAUAUUUUUAUUGGUAUAAUAACAAAUUUAGCUCUCCAAGUUUACACAUUCUAUCAAUUUGUUUUGAUUUAACAAAUUUAGCCCGCAACAGUUACAUAUUCUAUUAACAUUUACACAUAAUAUAUAAACAUCGAGAGCUUAAUUUGUUAUUAUAUAAAUAAAAUUAUGUACAAUUUACAGAAAGCAUUAACACAAUAAUUAAUUGUCCUUAGUUGCUCCAUUUCAAAAUUGAUAAUGAUUAAAUUGCUCUAAUUUUCUGAGAGAAACCAAUUUCUUCAAUAUAGAAAUUGAGAGGGACGAGAAAUGUGUUUUUAUCCAUUUUAGAUACUAACAAGUGUUUGGCGUAGUGGCAAGGCAUAUUACAUUCUCAAGGAGAGAAUGCGUAUUCAAACGUUGGAGAUAAUAAUAUUGUGUGGGGUAUCCACGGAUCUCGAACACAGACUGUAAAACAUAUAUAAAAAAUAAAAAGAAUAACAUCUUAAUUUAAAUAAUUAAUAAAUUUUAAUUUCAAAAAAGUAUUUUGAGAAACAUAGGUUUUAGUAAAUAGUAAAAUUGAAUCGAUAAAACAUGUCCAGUAUAUCAGAAUCAUAAAAAUACAACUUAAUUAAUUUGAAUUUAAACUUAACUCGACUCAAUUUGAUUAUAAAAAACUGAUAAUUUGAAUCCAAAAUGACAUGAUCUUGAAAUGAUUUGAAUUAAUUGUCAAACCCAAACGACAAAACUCGAAAUGAUGCAAUCCAAAAACACAAGUCAAAUGAACUAAACUAUGAAAGAAAAAAAAAACCUUACACCGACUCAAAUCCAAAAUAAUUUAAUCCUAAAAUAACCCAAAUUUUAUAUAAUAUAAACUCGAAAUAACCCGAUAAUUUUUUUCAGUCUUACUGUGUUUAUCUUUAUAAGUAUUCUUGUUUUCCUUGCCCAUACAUGUAUUGUAGUUAUCAAAAAAUAUAUUCUACUUUGGAUUUUAUUUAUAUUAAAUUUUAGGUUAAAUUCCGCUAUUACUCUCUGUACUUUAUGAAAAUGAUGGAUUUAAUCAUUGUACGUUAAUUUAAUCAAUUUUAGUCUUUGUAUUUUUUGAAUUGGUCAAUUUUAAACCAUUUACUUUUUGAAUUUUGAAAUUUUAGUCUUGAUUCAAAUAAUAUUAAUAAUAAUAAAAUCUGCUUAUUUAAAUUUAAUUAUUAGUUUUGUACUAUGUAGACAAUUAUAGAUUUAAUCCAUAUUUUUCAAUUGGGUCAUUCCAAGUCUUUAUACUUUUCAAAUUUUAAAAUUUCAAUAUUGAUGCAGAAUGCGAGUUGCUAUUAAUUAAUUGAUUUUUUUAGCCAAUGCAUGUAGAAAUAAUAAGUUGUUAUGUCAUUAUACUUAAAAUAAUAUAUUGGUUUAACCCGCUUAAAUUAUGUCUUUUUUUCCAUCUUGGGACCUAAAUUUUUUUGGGGUCAUAAGUGGUACCUAAACUACUUUUUUUUCUCCUUCAAAUUAGGGCUCCUUUGGAUCACCAGCAAGUUUCAGUGUGGUGAGAUUUAAAGAGUAAAAAAAAUUUGAACUGAAACGCAGCUCUAUUUGGGGUGUUUGGCAAGCACACCAGUAAGCAUUUUUCACCUCACUGUAACCCAAAAUAUUGGCUGGAGUUAAAAGCUUCAGUGGACUGAUUUGGAAGUCCAAAAAUAAGAGUAAUUAUUAUUUUACCCCUCCAAUUCUUCCUUUAUUAUUUAUUUUAUUUAAAACAGAUAACAUAAGUUUAAUAUGUCAUUAUUUAAUAUUAUUUAAUUUACAAUAAAAUUAUAAUUUUUAUUUAUAAAUUUAGUAUAAAUACAAUUUAAUUUAUAUUUUAUUAUUUGAUUCAAAUAUAAUCUGUAAAAAUAUUUUGAUAUUUUAUUAUGAAUAUAAUUUAAAAAUAUUUUAUUGUAUAUUUAAAAUAUUUUGAUAUUUUAUUAUGAAUAUAAUCUGUAAAAUAUUUUGAUAUUUUUGAAUUUUUCUCUAGUUUUAAUUUAUUUUUAAUUAUUUAUUAUUAAAAAUAAAUAUAAUUGUAAUAAUUUUUAAUUAUUUAUUAAUUUUGUAAUUGUUAAAUAAUUUUAAAAACUUCUAUUAUAUAUAUUUUUAAUCUAAUGUCCUUAAAAGUCAUUUUCUAUUUUCACCUCACCGCUACAACUGCGUUUGAAUCCAAACACACACUCCACCGCUGUUUCUAAUCUCACCGCUACAGUAUCCAAUCUCACCGCUACAGUACCUAAUCUCACCGCCACCGCUGUUUUUAACCUUACCGGAACUAAACACACCGCCCAUCCAAACCCACCCUUAGUAUAUUCAUUAGUUAAACUGUUAAGUCUAUUUAAAAAAGAAAGACUCGGACAACAAAUUAAUACUUAAACAAUGCUCUUUUUCCCAAGGUACCUAAUUUUUAUUUUGGCCAUGAGUAUUACUAAAACUAUUAUUCCAUUACUCAUUUUACACCAAAAUGUUAUAUCGGCUGAAAAGAUUCCAACAAAUAAUAGAUUGUAUGUCAUAUAAACUUUUAAAAAUAAUUAUUAAUUAAUUUUUUUCAUAUAAACUGAACGGUUUGACUAAUGACGGAGGUACCAAAUUAUAGUCUAGGUACCAAUUUAUGGGUUAAGCCUAUUUCUAAAAUAGACUUUUGACUAAUGGCGGUAGUAACUUGGGAAAAAAAAGUAGUUUAUGUACCACUUGUGAACAAAAAUAAGUUUAGGUACCAACAUCGUAAAAUGAGUAUAAUUUAGAUACCGAUUUAUGAGUUAAGCCUAAUAUAUUUGUUGCAUCAUUUUUUUGAAAAUAACAGAACUUAAUAAAUUUAACGGUUAUUUUUUGGUGAUGACUAAAAUUUUAAAAUUUGAAAAGUACAUGAACUAAAAAUGACCAAAUUAAAGUAUAAAGAUUAAGUCCACAACUUUUACAAAGUACAAGGAGUAAUAGCAGAAAUUAACCUAAAUUUCAUAUGGGUCACUUACAAAAAUAAUCACUAAACUAUUCCUUUGGUUCUAUUCUAGUCACUCAACUAUAAAGGUGCUCAUGAGCCGGGCCAGGUCAGGCCUAAGCAUGAUAUUAACGUACCUUAUGCUUGCUCAAGCUUGGCUCGGCCCGAAAUAUGAGCUUAAAAUUUCGCCUAAACUCAUCCAUAUUUGCAAAAGACUAACCUAAGCUCAUUUUAGGCAUGCCCAUAUAAUUUUUAGUUUUUUUUUAAUAUUUAUAUUAUAUUAUAUUAAUAAUUAAUAAUUUAAACUUUUUUUAUUUAUUGAAACUUUUUAUAUAGUCAUUUUAACAUUAUUUUAAUGUUUACAUUAUAGUAUUAUUAUAUAUUUAGUAUAAGUUUAUUUUGUUAAUCUAUUCUAAACUAUAUAAUAUAAAGUAUCAUACACUUAAAAAUAGGCCGAGCUGGGCUUGAGCUUUGAAUGUUCAAGCCUGAACUCAGCCCAAAUUUUAAACGGGCCUAAUUUUUUUACCCAAACCCAAUUUUUGGGCCUAAUAUUUUUAUCCAGACCCUCCCAAAUUUUGGGCAGCCCUUGGGCCUUGGCAAGUAGCCCAACUCAUUAACAAGUUUACUCAACUAUUAAUUUUUUCGAUUUAGUUGUUAACCUUUUCGAAAGUAAAUAUUUUAGUCACUCUCCUGUUAGGUGUUGUUAAAUGAGUGAUGGAAAGCUAAUGUGGGCUUUUUUUAUUAGUCUAAAAACAAAUUUUGCCCUCUAAUGUUUACACUUCUAUCAAUUUGAUCCUAGAUAUAAAAAAAAAUCAAAAAAUUUAGCCCUGAAUAUUAUCAAAAAUUAGCGAUUUAGUUCUAAUUCUAAAAAUUUUAAUAUAUACAUAUAUUUAAAAAAAUAUUUUUAAUCCUCUGUCUCACCCUUUGAUUUUUUUAGAGAUAUUCAAAAAUUAAAAUAUAUCAUUAUGUCUUUUCGUUUUAAUGCUAAAAGAGAUAAAAAAAAUAGAAAGCUAAAAUGACUUUUCAUUUGUAAAGUUAAAAAAUACUAAAUAAAUCAUUAUAUCUUUUUAGUUUUAAUUUUUUACUUGAUUAAAAGAGAAAUAAUUAACGAAUGAAAAAUAAUUAUUCCCAAAUAAAUUUAUAAGAAAUGAGAUUUUGCUAAAAGAAAAAGCAUGUAAAAGUAUACACGUUCUUAUGAAAUACAAAGAUUUUGCUAAAAGAAAAAGUAUCCAAUUUUAAGAAUGAAAAAUAUAUGGUAAAAGGAAGACUAAGUGGUUGUUGAAAAAUACAAAAAUUUUGAAAAUCUAAUAUCCAUAACUUUUCAAUGUAAAAGAAAAAAAUGACUGUAACACCAAUGUUGUGGUAUUAUUUGUUGCCUAUAAGUACCAUUCCUAUCCUUCAUCUUCCUCUACCAACAUAACAUGGCCUCCUAUCUCUUUCUGUCCCUGUUCCUCUUCUUUCCCCAUCUUUAUGCUUCUUUUUCUUCUUCAGGAUCUCACUCCUGCUCUUCACUAAUCCAGUUCAAGAACUCUUUUUCCAUCACAGAGUAUGCUUCUUAUCAUUGCAAUGAGAUUGCUGGCCUUCAAUCUUAUCCCAAGACAAAUUCAUGGAAGGAGGGUACAGAUUGCUGCUCAUGGGAUGGGGUCACUUGUGACCACCUAAAUGCUCAUGUUAUUGCCCUUGACUUGAGCUGCAGUUGGCUAUAUGGCAACUUCCCUUCCAAUUCCACUCUCUUCCUUCUUCCUCACCUUCAAAAACUCAACCUUGCCUACAAUCAUUUUAAUCGUUCCAAAAUGCCAUCCGAGUUCGGUCGGUUUACAAGCCUACUCUACCUCGACCUUUCCAGUACAGGGUUUGCAGGAGAAGUCCCAUCCCAAGUCUCCCACUUGUCAAAAUUGGUUUCACUUAAUCUUUCUUGGAUUGGACAACAAUUAACAAUUGACAAACAUGCUCUGGAGGGACUUGUUCACAACCUAACCGAGGUCAGGUAUCUGUUUUUGGAUGGAAUCAACAUGGCUUCUGUUAAUGCUCAAGUCUUUAUGAAUCUAUCCUCUUCUCUAAGGUCUCUCAGUCUUUCUGGUUGUGAUUUGCAAGGAAAAUUCCCAAAAAACAUUUUUGAUUUGCCAAACCUCAAUCUCCUCAACUUUGGAGACAACCAAUUGAGUGGACAAAUUCCAAGAUUAUUGGGGAACCUCUUGCAACUCACUUCUUUAGACUUGUCGUUGAACCAAUUGAGUGGACAAAUUCCAUUGUCAAUUCUAAACCUAACGCAGCUGGAAUUUUUGGCAAUAUCUGAAAAUUUAUUAGAAGGUUCCAUUCCAGAUGAAGUAACCGCUUUUCCUAACCUAAAAUUUUUAUACUUAGAUAACAAUUUACUCAGUGGAACACUUCCGUCAUGGUUGUAUACUGCUCCCUCAUUAGACAGUAUAGGUCUCUCUCAAAAUCAAUUCAGUGGGCAUAUCAAAGAAUUCCAAUCCAAAUCACUAGAAUGGAUAGCGUUAGAGAAUAAUAAACUCCAAGGUCCUCUUCCAUCUUCAAUAUUCCAACUUCUCAAUCUUACCCGCCUCUUUUUAUCCUCAAAUAAUCUUAGUGGUGUCAUAGAGUUUCGCAUGUUCUCAAACCUUCCAAAUCUCGACCUUCUUGACCUUUCAUAUAACAGCCUAUCCUUAACAUCUAAUACUACUUCUACUGUUAAUCAUAUAUUGCCUAAUCUUACAAUGUUAUUUUUGUCAUCUUGCAAUCUUAGUGAAUUCCCCCAAUUUUUGAAAGGGCUUAAAAGGUUGGAAAUGUUAGACCUCUCUUGCAACAAACUUCAAGGCAAGAUUCCACAGUGGAUGCAAGAGGUGGGGAAUGUCUCUUUGACUUUCUUAAACGUAUCUCACAACUCUUUGACAGAAGUUGAGCACUUUCCGUGGAAUAAUAUUGCAGUUCUGGACUUAAGCUCCAAUUUGAUCCGUGGAAAUCUUCCGAUUCCAGCUUCGAAGAUCAAUGUCUUUCUGAUCUCAAAUAAUAGUUUCAAUGGAGAGGUCUCUUCUUUAAUCUGCAAUGCCAGUGAUCUUGAAAUUCUUGAUUUGUCCCACAAUAACUUGAGUGGAACAAUUCCGCAAUGUUUUGGAAAUUUGAGCAACAGCCUUGAAUUCUUGAAUCUGAAGAAGAACAAGUUCUAUGGGACGAUUCCUCCAACAUUUGCAGAGGGAUGCCAAUUGAGUAAUUUCAACUUAAAUGGAAAUCUGUUAGAAGGGCCUUUGACACCAUCCAUCCUUAAUUGUAAUGAUCUGGAAGUGCUAGAUCUUGGUAACAACAAGAUCAAUGAUACAUUUCCUCAUUGGUUGGGAAGUCUUCCACAGCUACAAGUUCUUGUAUUGAAGUCAAAUCAUAUGCAUGGUUCCUUGCGUGUCAAUAGCUCCAAGUCUAGCCCUUUUUUCUCUAAAAUCCAAAUUUUUGAUCUCUCAAGUAAUUAUUUUUCUGGACCCCUACCAGUGAGAUACAUCAACAGCUUCAAGGCUAUCAUAAAUCUAGAGAAGAUUGGUAGUACAGUGUCGUACAUGGGGGUGAAUGAUGGCUUCUAUACCUAUUCCAUUGGAAUUGUUAUAAAAGGACAAUAUAUGGAAUUGGUGAAAAUUUUCACCGUGUGGAUGAUCAUUGAUCUAUCAAACAAUCAGUUUGAAGGGGGUAUUCCAGAGGUUUUUGGGAAGCUUAACUUACUGAAAGGGCUCAACCUUUCUCAUAAUAACCUUAAUGGUGGUAUCCCUACCUCAAUAGGGAAUUUGACAAGUCUUGAAUGGUUGGACCUAUCUUCAAACAGGUUGUCUGGGACGAUUCCAAAUAGAUUGGCAGAUCUGCCAUUUCUUUCGUCCUUCAAUGUUUCUGAAAAUCAACUCCAUGGUCAGAUUCCUCAAGGCAAACAGUUCAACACAUUUGGAAAUGAUUCAUAUGAAGGAAACAAAGGAUUAUGUGGAUUUACGGUCUCGAAAGGUUGAAACAUCAUUGAGCCAGCACCUCCAAAUGUGCUUGAAAAAGAUGGCUCAAAAUCAAACAUUACUUUUGGUUGGAAAGUGGUGUUGAUAGGUUAUGGAUGCGGAGUGGUGUUCGGAAUGUCCGUGGGAUAUGUUGUUUUCCAAACUGGUAAGCCGAAAUGGUUGGUGAAUUUGGUUGAAAUCCAACAUGAGAAGAAGCGAAGAAGAAAGUCAAAGGAUGGCAGUCGCAGAAAUGGACGAAGAAGGAUCUAGUUAGUGGAAAUGAUGUUCAAGUGUUGAUGUUGUAUCUUCAUAAUUUCUUGUUUUGAAGUCUUUCAAUUUUUUUCCUAUGGUGAAAGGUUGCAUUGGCAUGCAUCUGUCUUUGUUAUUGUGACAAUUCAUCUAUAUUUCAUUGCAUUACGUGGUAUUUGUAAGGGUUUGUUUUAAAUGUAACAUUUUGUAUGGUUCAACUAUUUAUGUCUUCUUUCAUGACUUUUAUUUUUGAGUCUCAAUAAUCUCUGCAUUCAAGAUUUUGUCAGCUUAUUAAUUGGUGGAUCAAUAAUCUUCAUGCUCAUCUCAUCAUCUUUUUCUCGAGUUAAACACAGCCAAUACUAUAACAAUUUCUUCUGUGUGGAAAAUAAUUUGGCAUUCUGCAAAUUUCCACAAUGCUUGUGGAUUGCCUUUGGUUGACAGCUAUACAUAUAAAGGAAGGAAACAAGACCAUGUCAAAAUUUCCAAAAAUUAGUCAUUCAUUUUUUAAAAUUGUAAAUUCUCAAGUAAUGUAAAUUAGUCCUAAAACUCAAGUUUUGAAAUCUUUACAAUUUAACCCCUUACUAUUUUAUGCUCAACUUUCUAAAUCUUCAUAUUUCAUGAUCAUAUAAUUUAGUUACUACAUCAAUAUUUGAGAUUUCACUACUCAAACCCUUACUUCAUUUUGGUCCUUACUUCAAUUUUAUCAAAUUAAAUCAUUUUUCAAUUUGAAUGCAUUGAUGUGAAAUUGAGGGAGCACUAAACAAUGUUGAUGCGAGUUUAGGCAAAAUUGGUGGAUCCCAUCUCCUUAGUAAUUUCUUUAUGGAAGUAGCUGCUUUCACACUGCAAACUUGGAUAAUUUGUGGUGGACGAUGAUGAAUGAUUUGACAAUCAAACACAUAAUUUUUAAACACAAAAUUAACGAUAUAUUGAAAUCAUUAUUGAAAUUAUAAUCAAAAUUAAUACAUGUUUUUUUUAUUUGCUUAAGGUGUAAAAACCCUUCAAAAUUUUCAAAAAUAAAAAUAAAAAUUUAAGUCCCUCUUUUUUUUUUUAACACUCAAUUGAGCACUUAAACUUUUAAAAUGUGUCAAAAAUAUCUUUACACUUCUUCAAAAAAAGCGAUUAAACUCUUUUUUUUUUCGCUCAAUUGGGUGCUUGAACUUUCAUAAUGCAUCAAAAAGACCUUUUUUUUUCAAAGAAACAAUUAAGCCUCUAUUUUUUUCCCACUCAAUUGGGUACUUGAACUUUCAUAAUGCAUCAAAAAGCAAUUAAGGCCUUUUUCAUGCAUUAUGAAAGUUCAAGUACCGAAUUGAGUGCAAGAAAAAAAAAGUAGGGGCUUAAUUGCUUUUUUUGAAAAUGUUUGAGGGCCUUUUUGAUGUAUUUUGAAAGUUCAAGUACCCAAAUGAGUGCAUAAAAAGAACAGGGGUUCAAUUGCCAUUUUUGAAAAAGUUUGAGGGCUUUUUGCACCCUUAAACCUCUUUUCUUUUUCUAAAUUUAAUUUAGAACCAACUUUGAGUAAAGACUUGGGAAAUUUAAUUACCAAAAUUUCUUUCCAUGCAAAAAUUUCCCCUAUUUCUUGUUUGAAUUUAAAGCAAUACAAUAUUUUUCUAGCUAGUAAUAGAAAAUGACAGUCAAUUCAUUCCAAGCAAUGCAAAAUUUCCAGUCUGGUGGAAAAUUUGUUUCUUAGAUACUAUUAUUCAACUUUUAAGGCAUAAGUUUGAAUAUAGGGACUACAUUUUUAAAGUGUUGUUUACUACACACUUAGGGACCAUAUAUGUGUAUAUAUAUAUAUAUAUAUUCCAGUCUGGGUCUUUGUCGUGUUUUGUUGGUUGGCUAUGGCCUUGUUGCUGUUUCCACUGUCUGUGGUCUUUGUUUCUAAGUCAUAUGUGGCCUUGUUUGCUACAACUUAGUUGCUAAGUUAAAGGGAGUUAAUAGAGCACCAUUUUCUUCUUUUGCGUGGAAAAUAAGUUGGCGUUAUGCCAAUUUCCACAUUCAUACAUAUAAUGGAAGCAAGAGCAAGUCAAUAUACUUUGUAAUCUCAUCACUUCUUCUUCUUUCUUUGGGGAGUUCAAAUGAAAUACAAAUUUUGAGUAAAUCAACUAUUCAUUGACGGUACAAACGAGUUAAAAUUUCCAGCAUUCAUGUCUUUGUUUUCCCUCAAGUAAACGUAGUCAAUACUGCAAAUGGUGUGGAAGUAUUGUACAUUGUGGCCCAAAUGUCCAAAAUUUCCCCAUUGCUUGUAAAUGAAAUUUGGGUGAGAGAGAUGGGAGGAAGCAACAGCAAGUGUGAAGUCAAUAGACAAUUGACAGUCUUUAUUCUUUUGUGUGGAAAAUUAUUUGGGACCAAACUUGACUUGUUAUAAGGAAGAAGACUUUGUAAUCUCAUAAAUGUUAAUUAUUUUACUUCUUUGGUAAAAAAAAAAGUAAUCAAUUUUAUGAAUGAAAAAUAUAUGGUAAAGAGGAAGUAGUUGUUGAUCACUAAUAACAUGAUGAUUGUGGAAAUACAAAAAUUCCCGUAUAUGUGUUGAAUUCUGCAUAAUGUAAAUGUCCCGCAUUGCAUGUGAAUUCUGCAAUAAACUAAACUUUACGUGUUAUAGUUCUUUAAACCGAGUUAAUGAAAAGUAACCAUUCUUAUCAAAAUUAGUUAUACUCCUAAUUUAUAACAAAGGAAAUAAUAAUUUGAGUUUAACUCAAAGGUUAAUAUGUCAUCAAUGGGCGAUGGCGUGGUGCUACCAUGUCAGCGAUUAUUUUCUUCUUUGAGUUAAGGUGAUUUCACCAAUUUUAGGUUACUUUUUUACUUCAAUUUAGGUUUAUGCUUAUUAGCUUCGAAGAUUCUAAGUGGGUGCCACAAUCAAAGGGUGAGUAAAAAGGGUUAAAAAUGAUUUUUUUUAAAAAAUAUUUUUAUUUUUUUAUUAAAAAUUUAGAAUUAGAAUUAGACAAAUUUUGUAAAUGUUAAGGCUAACUUUAUUGAAUUUUUUUUUUCAGAAUUUGAACUAAAAUGACAAAUUUUGUAAAAAGCACUAAAUUUGUUGAAUUUUUUACAUUUAGGAUCAAAUUGAUAGAAUGUGUAAAUAUUAGAGGUUAAAUUUGUUAUUAGAUGAAUAAAAAAAACCCACAUCAACUUUCCAUCACUCAUCUAACGACAACUAAAGGGAGAGUGAUUAAAAUAUUUAAUUUCAAAAAGUUUAGCAACUAAAUUGGAAAAUUUAAUAGUUGGGUGACUAUUUUUAUAGUUUACAAUUUUUUUGGUCACCUGACUAUUAAGUGACACGUUUUAGUUGGUAUAAUAAUAAUUUUAGUCCUCAAUUUUUAUACUUUCUGUCAAUUUAACUCUAAUUAUAUAAAAUGAUUACAAAAGUGAAAUUCUUUUUAAAUUUUACAAAAUUCUAAAAAUUAAAUGAAAGUAGAUAAAAAUUUCAAAUAUAAAUAAAGUGAGAGAAAAUGAGGAAAAUAUUAUUUUUAAACCCUCCAAAUUUUAUUUGUAUUAUCUGUAAAGCAAUAUCUAAUAUCCAUUCUUUUAGAAAACAUAGAAAAAGGUAAAAAAAAGCUUAAGUAAAAUUAUCUGUAUAUAAUCUGCUUUUAUAAUUUGGGUUUUUAAAAAUAAAUUUAAAUGAAUUGAAAAUUUGAAUUGAGUUUGAAAAAGAAAAUUUUGUGGUAUAUUUUAUAUUUUUGCUAGAAAAAUAGCAUCAAAGUCGAUUUCGUAAGCUUUUGUAAUAUCAGUUACGGAUGUUCUUCAAGGGCAUAGAACUCAACUUGAAAAUUUUACUAAUUUGGUUACAAAAAAACAUUGAGGAAGCAUAUAAUGAUCUAACUUUUUUUUUCUGUUUUUAAUUUGUUAUGGGAUUCUAUUGAAUGAUAAUUUUUUUUAUUUCCCGUAUUUAGUUCUUCAACAACAACAUAUUCGAGAUUUUAUUUUUCUAGAAUUUUUACAUAAAAGUAAAGUUUGUAUUUUUUAAAAUAAUUUUGAGUUUUUUAUAAUUUUUAUAUAGAAUCGAGGUAAAUUGGCAAAAAAAUUAUAAAAACAAAAUACUAAAAUUGUUUAGUUAAGUGACCAAAACGAAAAUCUACCCAUAGUUCAGUGACUAAUUAUGUAGUUUACCCUUCAUAAUUAAAAAAAUAGCUGUUAAGUUUUUCUUGUAUUAGAUAACAUUUUAGAUGGUAAAAACCCUCUUUAGUCCCUCUCAAUUUUGAUAUUAAGUAAAUUGAUCCAUUUUAAAAAAAAAAUCAAAGCAAUUUAAUCUUUGUUAAUUUCGAAAGUGAACAACUAAAGAUAAUUAAUCACAAUGUCAAUAUUUUCCAUCAAUUGUACAUAUUUUUAUUGGUAUAAUAACAAAUUUAGCUCUCGAAGUUUACACAUUCUGUCAAUUUGGUCUUGAUUUAACAAAUUUAGCCCGCAACAAUUACAUAUUCUAUUAACAUUUACACAUAAUAUAUAAACAUCGAGAGCUUAAUUUGUUAUUAUAUCUGUAAUACCCAAAUUUUGCCCGGCCCAAGCCCAAGUAUCAAAACCCAAAUAAAAAAUAUACAUAAUAAAAGUCCAAUAACAUCAGUCCAGAUUACAAACCAAAUAAAUUAAGCCCAAACUCGAUUACAAAGUCCAAAUUCCCAAGCACAAACUGUUAACCCAACACUCCAGCCCCAAAUUAUUAGCCCAAAAUCAAACCCACUAAGCCUAAUCAGCCAACCCUAACCCGAACGGCCUACAUACCUAGCCCUAAAACAUUUUCAAAAAAACCUAAAGCAACUAUUUGCCUCAGCCGCCGCAACAGUAGCCUCCCACACGCGCGCCUCUCAUUAUCUUGAAGUAUCUUUUUGAAAUUGAUUAUUAAUUUAUGGGGUGCUUAAUUAUUGAUAUUAGUAUUUGUAUGAUAUGACUAAAAUAAUUAUUGUUAUUUGCAUUUACCUAUUAUUUGUUUGUCUUCUUAAUGUAUGUUUGGGUUGUUAUUUAUCCUUUUCGUUAUGUAUUGCUAUUCAAUCAUGUUUCAUUUGUAAGAAUUGUAUUUUUAAAGCACAACAGAUCAUUCUAUUUCAUAAUUUUCAAAAAGGCCUGAUGUUCAUAGCUCUCGAGAGAAUUGUGCCCUAACUUACUGGGCUUCAAUUCUUCUCGAUGAAUUUGAAUAGCCAAGUGUUUAUUGUAUUAAAACCACACAACUUUUAAAAUAAAGUUUUCAAGAUUUUAAAUUGUUGGAUCCUAACUUACUGGAUGUGGCAUUUUGUUAUCCCAAUUUUAAAAUAAAGGCAAUGUUUGACGUUUAAGAACUUCGAGAAAUCGAAACCUAACUUACUGGAUUCUGAUUUCUCAUUUGACUUAAAUGACCGAAUAGCCUUCUCAAAAUGCAUGAAUUUUAAAAUUUGAAAAUUAAAAAGACAUACUUAAUUUUGACGAUUGAAUCGUUGCACUCUAACUUACUGAGUGUGGCAAUUUAUUUCUUUGAAAUGAGUGUGUUUUAUUAUUCAAAUUUAAACUUUAAAAGGAUCGUAUUUUUCGACACUAAGACAUUAAACAAUCGAUUCGGUACCAAUUUUGGGCGUUACGAGGGUACUAACCCUUCCUCGUGCGUAACCGACUCCCGAACCUAUUUUCUCAAAAUUCGUAGACCUAAAAUUAUUUUCAAGGUGAUCCGGUCACACCUCAACAAAAGAUCGGUGGCGACUCCCAUUUUCAUUUUCAAAGUCGAUUCCCAUUUUUAAAACAUAAAAAAUGGUUUCGGCAAUAUCAAUAAAAAUUAUGUACAAUUUACAGAAAGCAUUAACACAAUGAUUAAUUGUCCUUAGUUGCUCCCUUUCAAAAUUAAUAAUGAUUAAAUUGCUCUAAUUUUCUGAGAGGAACCAAUUUGUUCAAUAUAGAAAUUGAGAGGGACGAGAAAUGUGUUUUUAUCCAUUUUAGAUACCAACAAGUGUUUGGCGUAGUGGCAAGGCAUAUUACAUUCUCAAGGAGAGAAUGCGUAUUCAAACGUUGGAGAUAACAAUGUUGUGUGGGGUAUCCACGGAUUUGAACACGGACUAUAAAACAUAUAUAAAGAAUAAAAAGAAUAACAUCUUAAUUUAAAUAAUUAAUAAAUUUUAAUUUGAAAAAAGUAUUUUGAGAAACAUAAGUUUUAGUAAGUAGUAAAAUUGAAUCGAUAAAACAUGUCCAUUAUAUCAGAAUCAUAAAAAUACAACUUAAUUAAUUUGAAUUUAAACUUAACUCAACUCGAUUUUGAUUAUAAAGAACUGAUAAUUUGAAUCCAAAAUGACAUGAUCUUGAAAUGAUUUGAAUUAAUUGUCAAACCUGAACGACAAGACUCGAAAUGAUGCAAUCCAAAAACACAAAUAAAAUGAACUAAACUAUGAAAGAAAAAAAAAACCUUACACCGACUCAAAUCCAAAAUAAUUUAAUCAUAAAAUAACCCAAAUUUUAUAUAAUAUAAACUCGAAAUAACCCAAAAAUUUUUAAAUUAAAAUUGACCCGACCCAAAUUCACACCACCUAAAAUCAAUCGUAACCACCUAAUUAAAAAGCAUGAAAUGAAAUGAUGUAAAGAGAAAAUUAGAGAAAACCAAAUAGAAAGUAACAAGCUUUUUUCAGAAUUGAAAGCAAAUUCCGUACAUUCACGACAUGCAUAAAACAACAAUGGUUUAUAGAAUUUGAGUUUUAGUCCCUGUACUUUAAAAGUUAAUUUUUCUUAAUUUAAAAAUUUUAGUUUAAUCAUUCAUGUUGGUUGUAGUUUCCAUUAGCUUAAUCAACAUGUUAAAUUAUUAAAUUUUGAUAUAAAAUAUUUACGAGUUUAAUAAUUAUACUGAGAUUUUUAAAUAAAAAAGUUGGAAGACUUAAUUUCUAACAUUUUAAAUAUAGGGACUAAAAGCAUCUUUUAACUUUGAUAUUAUUAUUAUAAGCAGGGAUAAUGUCAUCUUUGGCAUCUGUACUUUUAUAAAAUGUCUAGUGGUACAAGUACUUUGAAAAUAUAUAAUGUGGUACCUGAACUAUCAAUAUGUGUUAUUAUUAUGGUACAUGUACUUUGAAAAUGUUUAAUGUGGUACCUAAACUAUCAAUAUAUAUUUUAUUAUGAUACUUGAUAAAGAUGGACUAUUAUUGGUAGCUUAAGGGGCUCUUUGUCCCGCCAUCCCUGCAAAAAAAAAAUUGGAGAAUUUUGUUUUUUCCUUUAAAAUUUUUAGAAAAUUUCAAUUAAGCCCUCAAAAUUUUUGAAAAUUUUCAUUAUACCUUUUAAUUUUUUAAAAAAUUUUAAUUAAGCACUCUUAAAUUUUGAAAAUUCUCAUUAAUCUCACAAAAAUUUUAAUUUUUUUAAAAAAAAUAUUAUUAAACCAUUAAAUUUUUAGAAAAUUUUACCUGCCCCCUCCCCCAAAAAAAAACCUAGUCCCAACCCCUAGGAUCCGCCAUUGGUACUUGGUAUUAACACUGUUAGAAAAUUGCUAAAUAAACCAAUGAAAAUUUGACACAUAGAACCCUUUUUUUAAUUAUCAAGUCCACGUGGAUAAAAUAAUAGUGAAAAACUAAAUAAAACAAUAAUUAAAUGAAAUAAAAAAACAAAUAACUAAACAUAUGGUUAAUAAAAAAAAGCCGUACUUUCAAAGAUAAUAAAAAAUAUUAUUUAAAAAUCAAUUGAAAAUAUUAUUUUAAAAGGAAAACUCUUUGGAGAAGAUGAUCAUUUGCUUAAAUGGAGAAUAUAAUAUUUUUGGUUAUGCAAGUUUAGUAUUUACUUCUUUUUUAUUAAUCAUAUGUUUAGUUUUUUUAAUUAAUUUAAUUGUUUUAUUUAGUUUUUCACAUAAUGUUAUUUUACACAUGCGGACUUGAUGAAUUAGAAAAAAAUAUUACGUGUUAAAUUUUCAUUGGUUGGUCUAAUAAUUCAUUAACGGUGGAUUUGUUCUACAUUGAUGACAAAGAUGUGGAGUUUAAAGAAGUAAGAACUUAUCAACAAUAUUCGAGGUUCUGUUGUAUGUUGCCUUAUUAAAGAAGUCUUCACUUAAAAUCUUCUAUGUUGCCUUAUGUAUGUAGGUUCUUGAGUCACCUUUGCCAAAAGCACCACAUGAUACAUCUGUUACAUCCCACUGGCUUGCGAUUUAAGGCAUUCAACCAGUAAUUCCAGAAAAUGCUUCAAUUGAAGGUACCGUCUUAGCUAACCUAAAUAUUCUCUCGAAGCUAUUUGUGUUGAAGACUCUCAUGGUUCAUGUUCUUUUCUGGUUUUAUCACUUUAAUCUAAUACGAGUUAUCUUCAUUUCUACAUGGAAUUGGUAUUUUGCUUUCCAUGCAGCACCUUCUGAUGGUAAAAAGGCUGAAUACAAAGAAGAUGGGCUUUCCGUUGAUGUCAAAUUAUUUGUUAAACAUGUAUUAUCUAGAGAGCUUCAAGUAUGUUGUACAUCUUCAGCAACAUUUUUAUGUUAAAAUACAUUUUGCACAGAAUGAUAUUAAAAGACUAAUUUGGUUGUCAUGCAGCUUUACUUUGACAAGAUCGUGGACAUUACCAUGAAUAAAUCAGUAUCAAUUCUCUUUAAACAAGCAUUACUGAGUUUGGCAACAGACUCGGGAUUACAUCCUUUAGUUCCUUAUUUUACAUAUUUCAUUGCGGAUGAGGUUGUCUUAAAGAUCUUUCAUACCUCAUUAUAUAUGUGUGUUGCAAAGAACUUUUGGUUGGUUAUCUCAAGCUUACAUUUUUGCCACAUUUAUCUCAGGUUGCACGGAAUUUGAAUAAAUUCCCUCUCAUGUUUGCUUUGAUGCGUGUUGCCCGGAGUCUUCUCGAGAAUGAACACUUACACAUAGAACCUUACGUGAGUUUAUUAUUUCAAUCAUUUAGAAGUACACGAACUAAUGCAAAUAUGCUAGUGGUUUAUUUUCCACCUAUCUGAUUUUUUAAAAUGUUCUUCAGUUACACCAGUUGAUGCCAUCUAUUAUUACCUGCCUUGUUGCAAAAAGGUUAGGAAAUAAAUUCACCGACAAUCAUUGGGAACUUAGAAACUUUGCAGCAAAGCUAGUGGCAUCAAUAUGCAAAAGGUGAAGAUUUCUUUUCUUUUGGACUUAUACAUGCAUAUUCGUUUUUAUGAAUUUCAGGUGUCGAGUUUUUAGUUAUAAACUUGGACCUAUUCUUCAAAUCAUGUGUAUAUCAUUUUUAUGCUAUUUCACACAUGCAAAACAAAUGGUGCAAGCAUGCAUGUUAUAUGCACAGAAUUGUUGAAAGCUGGACUGCAAUGCAACAUGGAGCCAGAAGCAUGCAACUGUCGAGACCAGCAGCUAUCAAGCUCAGCUCAUUUUGCUUGGAGCGCACGAAUGGUUUUUGGACCAAAUGAAGCAACUGACAUUGCUGUUUUGUUUUGAUGUAAUUUAGUUCAGUUUGAUUGUAACUAGCUUUAAUAGUUAGUAGGAUUAAGUUAGUGAUUAGAUAGCUGAUGUAAAAGCUGAUAUGGCAGCUCAUUUUGUAUUUGACUUUAACUUAUUUUGGUUGUAAAUUAGUGGAUGCAGUUAGAUUAGUAGGUAACUAUCAAAUGAACAAAUUGUAACUCCUUUUUAUUUCAAAAAAUUUUGGAUGAAACGUAAUAAUGUUCAGUUACAAUUCUGGCUGUACAUUCAAGUUUCUUGCUUGCUGCUCUGCUUGUUUUUCUUUUCUGCUUCGUUUACUCUUGCUUCUGCUUGCAAAUCUCUUUGUUGCUGCUGCCAUUGUUCCAACAAGAAUACAUAGAUUAAUUACGUGUGGAUCAUUAAGAAUGCCUAUGUAUUGGAAAUUGGCCAACCAUGCUGCUGUUACAUUUUGUGUUGAAGUGCAUGCAGCUUGAUGACAUGCUGCAGCACAUAUGCUUGCUGUAACAGCAAGGUUUCUCUUUAGUUUCAUCCUAAUUAAACUAGUUGAAAAUGAACAAGUUGAUGACAACUUGAUGCAUGAGGUGUUGAAUGAUUAGUUUAGGUGGCUUGUUUAUGUGUACAAGCAAUGUUUUAAUAGUCCCAAUGCUGAUUAGUGGGGUUAGUUGACUAUUUGGUGAUGUAUUUGACUAUAAAUGUAUGUUUUUUUUCGUUGAAUGAAUGAGCUGAAUAAGCUAUCAGCCAUAUGCUCCCUUGCUGCACAUUUGUGAGCAAGUAAAAAUACUUCUUGCAUCUUGCUUCAUUGUUCUGUGCUCUCUGUUCUCUUCUUUUGCUGCUGCCAAUGCUCCAACACUAUGUUUGACCAUUGUGUGUGGCUACUUUUUUUUUACAUGAUCCAAUUUUCGAUAUGAUAUGCUUUGCUUUUAGGUUGAAUGCGGAAAAGAUUAGAACUUAAUUUCCAGCAUAAUGAUUUGUCUUGGAUAUGCAGAUUUUUACAUGCAUUUCUUAAAAGUCAAUAUUUUAUAGAUUCGGGCAUGUUUAUCACAACCUUCAGCCACGUGUGACAAGGACACUGCUCCACGCUUUUUUGGACCCAACGAAAACAUUUCCCCAGCAUUACGGAGCAAUUCAAGGGUUAGCAUGUUAGAAAUCAAACCCACUCCAAGCAUAAUCUAGAAGCAUGAGACGUGGAGCAAUUUUGUGCCAUGCAAAGUGCUGAAAUUUUAGCCAUACAAAGUGCUCCAUUAUUGAGAUGUUUUGUGGCUGGAAAUUAAGUGGAUUAAUAGCCACAUUUGUUGUCACUUUAUCAGCCUAUAAAUAGAGGCUUGAACUUGUGUUGUAAAAAAGAAGAAAAAUGAGAAGAAAAAAGAAAUAAGAGAAGCAACGUGAGUGAGAGUGAGAAGGUUAGCAAACCUUGAGUGAGUUAAAAUCUAGCAGCAGCUAGACUAUCUAGUCAUUGAGAAAAUAUUUGUAAUCUUCGUAUUGUAAUAUAUUGAGUGUGUAAUAAAAAGUAAAUUUUCGGCCCAUCACGUUUCCAACAAGUGGCAUCAGAGCUACGGUUCGGAGCUUGGUUCGGAGUUCGGUUCGUGUCCGGUUCGUGUCCAGUUCGGAGUACCUUUGGUGUUCAUCUAACAAGUCGAUAUGGGCGACGUAAUUCAGCUACAAGUUCCACAAUUGACGAAGACAAAUUAUGGAAAUUGGAGCAUUCGAAUGAAGGCUUUGCUCGGUUCGCAAGAUUGUUGGGAGAUCGUUGAAAAAGGAUACAUCGAGCCCGGAGAUGCCGCUACAGAAGCAGCUUUAUCAAAUGACGCUAAGAAGGCGUUACGAGAAGCACGAAAGAAGGAUCAAAAGGCCUUGAAUAGUAUCUUUCAAGGUAUGGAUGAAUCAACCUUCGAGAAAAUAUCAGAUGUGAAGAACGCGAAGAAUGCAUGGGAGAUUUUGCAAAAAUCAUUUCAAGGUGUAGAAAAAGCUAAAAAGGUACGCCUUCAGUCACUUAGAGCUGAAUUUGAAAUGUUAAAAAUGAAGAGCUCCGAGAAUAUCGAUGACUAUGCCAAUCGUGUAAAAUCGGUGGUAAAUGAAAUGAAACGAAAUGGAGAAACUCUUGACGAGGUAAGAAUGAUGGAGAAAAUUCUACGGUCACUCACACGCAAAUUCGAGUACGUAGUCGUUGCCAUCGAAGAAUCAAAAGAUUUGUCAAAGAUGUCGCUCGAAGAACUUGUGGGUUCUCUGCAAGCCCAUGAGCAAAAGAUGAAGCUAAAUGAAGAUAGUGAAAAUCUUGAUCAAGCCUUGCAUAGCAAGUUGUCCGUCGACGACGGAGAAACAAGUAAUAACUUUAACCAAGGAAGAGGAAACCGCAGAGGAUACCGUGGAGGCUACCGUGGUGGAAACAGAGGAGGAAGAGGAUCACGAGGACGUGGAAAUCAAUCAUAUGGGAGAUAUCAAGAAAAUAAAGAUUAUCAAACAUCCAACCGUGGACGUGGAUCUAGAGGUCGUGGCCGAGGCAGAUUUCAAGAAAAUAAAUCUCAGGUACAAUGCUACAACUGUAACAAGUAUGGACAUUUCAGUUACGAGUGCAGAUCAACACACAAAGUGGAUGAAAGAAACCAUGUAGCAGUCAUAGCAGAAGGCAACGAAAAAGUGGAAUCAAGUGUCUUUCUCACUUACGGAGAAAAUGAAGAUCGCAAGAGAAGUGUGUGGUAUCUCGACAACGGUGCAAGCAACCACAUGUGUGGAAGAAAGGAGCUGUUCACAGAAUUAGAUGAAACAGUUCAUGGACAAAUAACUUUUGGAGACAACUCACAUGCAGAAAUCAAAGGAAAGGGCAAGGUUGUUAUAACACAAAGGAAUGGAGAGAAGAAGUACAUCUCAGACGUUUACUACGUACCAGCUUUGAAGAGCAACCUGAUCAGUCUUGGUCAACUCCUAGAAAAAGGAUAUGAAGUUCAUAUGAAAGACCGCUCACUCGCCAUCAGGAACAAAAGUGGAGAAUUAGUUGUUCGAGUUGAUAUGACGCGAAAUCGUCUUUUCACCCUCGACAUCGAGUCUGGAGAAGUAAAAUGCAUGAAGACGGAUCUGAAGAAUGAAUCAUGGUUGUGGCACUUAAGGUACGGACAUCUCGGAUUUUCUGGCUUGAAGCUGUUGUCGAAGACAAAUAUGGUGAAUGGAUUACCAAGUAUUAAUCAUCCAGAUCAACUGUGUGAAGCCUGUGUCAAAGGAAAGUAGCAUAGGCAGAAAUUUGAAGUAGGAAAAUCUCGAAGAGCUAGAAGACCAUUGGAAAUUGUACACACCGACAUAUCUGGUCCGUACGACAUUGAAUCACUCGGUGGAAACAGGUACUACCUAACUUUUAUUGAUGAUUAUAGCAGAAAAUGUUGGGUUUAUUUUCUCAAAGCAAAAUCGGAAGCCCUAGAAAAAUUCAAGGAGUUCAAAGCAAUGGUGGAAAAACAGAGUGGUCGAUAUUUGAAGAUACUCAGAUCCGAUAGAGGAGGCGAGUAUACUGCAAAGCUUUAUGAAAGUUUCUGCAAAGAUCAUGGAAUCAUUCAUCAGUUAACAGCCAGACGCACUCCACAACAAAACGGAGUUGCAGAAAGGAAGAAUCGGACAAUUCUGGAUAUGGCAAGAAGCAUGAUAAAAGGUAAACACCUUCCGAGAAAUUUCUGGGCUGAAGCCGUUGAAUGCGCAGUUUAUCUGUUGAAUCAAUGUCCAACAAAAAGUGUAAGACACAAGACACCAGAAGAAGCAUGGAGCGAUCACAAGCCAAGAGUUGGACACCUCAAAAUUUUUGGAUGCAUUGCAUAUGCACACGUUCCUGAGCAACAGAGGAAAAAGCUUGACGAUAGAGGAGAGAAGUGUAUCUUUAUAGGCUAUGACAAAAGAAGUAAGGCCUACAGACUUUAUAAUCCUCUUACUAAGAAAUUGAUUAUCUCAAGAGAUGUCGAGUUCGAUGAAGCGGAUUACUGGAGAUGGAGUGAAGAAGAAAAGAAAGUGGAAGGAUUAUUUUUCAACGAAGACGACAAUGAUGUCAUCAACCAAGAAGAACAAGGCGAUGAUCAAAGUCCUGGUACAACAGCCCCUUCGUCACCAACCAGCAGCAGCGGAAGCAGCAGCUCAGAUGAAGCACCCACAAGAACACGGAGUCUCAACGACAUCUACAAUUCUACGGAACCUGUAGAGACGCAGUUCGAUUAUUCACUAUUCUGUCUAAUGACAGAAUGUGAUCCAGUGACAUACGAAGAAGCAAUUGAAGACAAUAAAUGGAAGAAGGCCAUGGACGAGGAGAUUGCUGCAAUAAGAAGGAAUGACACGUGGGAGCUAACAAGUCUGCCAGAAGGACAUAGCCCGAUUGGUGUCAAGUGGGUGUACAAGACGAAGACCAACAAAGAAGGAAAAGUAGAGAAAUACAAGGCAAGACUAGUCGCCAAAGGCUACAAGCAAAGACAAGGAGUGGACUAUGAUGAAAUAUUUGCUCCAGUCGCAAGAAUAGACACAAUUAGGCUUCUCAUAGCGGUCGCAGCACAAUACAAAUGGAAAAUCUAUCAGAUGGACGUCAAGUCUGCAUUCCUGAAUGGCUACUUGGAGGAGGAAGUCUACAUAGAACAACCACCUGGAUAUAGCAUACAAGGAAAGGAGGACAAAGUCUACCGAUUAAAGAAAGCUUUGUAUGGAUUGAAGCAAGCCCCAAGAGCAUGGAACACAAGGAUCGACGAGUACUUCCGAAGAAAUGGAUUCAUCAAAAGCCCGCACGAGCACACCCUGUACACAAAGAAGAAUGGAUAUGGAGAUAUCAUGAUCGUAUGCCUAUAUGUGGAUGACAUGAUCUUCACCGGAAACAAUCCAGGUAUGUCUGAUGAUUUCAAGAAAGCUAUGACUAAAGAAUUUGAAAUGACAGAUAUCGGUGAGAUGUCAUACUUUCUUGGAGUCGAGGUGAAACAAAUGCAAGAUGGAAUUUUUGUCUCUCAAAAGAAGUAUGCGGAGCAGAUUUUGAACAAGUUCAAAAUGAAGGAUUGCAAGCCAGUAGUCACGCCAGCUGAUCCAGGGAUGAAGCUAAGUGUUGAUUCGACAAGGGAGUCGAUAAAUCCGACGUUGUUUAAAAGUCUCGUUGGAAGUUUAAGGUAUUUGACAAUCACACGACCAGAUAUUACAUAUGCAGUAGGAUUGGUGAGCAGAUUCAUGGAGAAGCCGAAGCAAGACCACUUAAUUGCCGCAAAAAGAAUUUUGAGAUAUAUCAAAGGUACGAUGAACCAUGGUUUAUUCUAUACCCACUCACAAGAUUCAAAAUUAGUUGGCUACUCAGAUAGCGAUUAUGGGGGAGACUUGGAUGAUCGGAAAAGCACUUCCGGAUAUGCAUUCCACAUCAAUUCCGCAGUUUUUUCAUGGUCGUCAAAGAAGCAACAAACAAUUGCUCUCUCAACAUGUGAAGCAGAGUAUAUGGCCGCAGCAACUUGUACAUGCCAAGCAAUGUGGUUGAAGAAUAUUUUGGGAGAAAUAGGUGUUUCAAAUGAAGGUCCAAUUACCAUCUACGUUGACAACAAAUCCGCUAUAUCACUUGCCAAGAAUCCGGUGUCGCACAGCCGAAGCAAGCACAUCGAUACGAAGUAUCAUUUUAUCCGAGAGCAAGUGAAAAACAAAAACGUGGAGUUGGUCCAUUGCAGGACAGAAGAUCAACUGGCAGAUAUUUUCACAAAGCCGUUGAAAGUGGAGACAUUCAACAAAUUCAAAGAGAAGCUCGGUAUGAAAGUUGGGUUUGAGGGGGAGUGUUAGAAAUCAAACCCACUCCAAGCAUAAUCUAGAAGCAUGAGACGUGGAGCAAUUUUGUGCCAUGCAAAGUGCUGAAAUUUUAGCCAUACAAAGUGCUCCAUUAUUGAGAUGUUUUGUGGCUGGAAAUUAAGUGGAUUAAUAGCCACAUUUGUUGUCACUUUAUCAGCCUAUAAAUAGAGGCUUGAACUUGUGUUGUAAAAAAGAAGAAAAAUGAGAAGAAAAAAGAAAUAAGAGAAGCAACGUGAGUGAGAGUGAGAAGGUUAGCAAACCUUGAGUGAGUUAAAAUCUAGCAGCAGCUAGACUAUCUAGUCAUUGAGAAAAUAUUUGUAAUCUUCGUAUUGUAAUAUAUUGAGUGUGUAAUAAAAAGUAAAUUUUCGGCCCAUCACGUUUCCAACAUAGCAUCCCUUGGACCCAGUGUGGUAUAAUUCUAAUCUCAAAUAUUUACUAGCAACACAAUAAGAUACUGGUUUGUGGGAUCAAUUGGUCAAAGAUAUUGCAAUGAUAGCCAUCUUUUUAAGUCCAUUUCUUUCAGAAAACUGUUUUGUCACUCUUUUCUGCAAGAUCCGAAGAAAGAAAGAACUUGGAAAUCUAUAGUCCAAAAGUGUAAAUAUGCGGUUUCUCUAUAGGUAUCUUUAUUAUGGCAUCUGUAAAGUUUGUCUUUCAUAUGUUUGAGUAACGCUUCUUCUUCCAUAUGUAGGUUCGUUUACUUAUACUACCAAAUCUUGAAGCGUAUUUGCAGCUUUUUGAACCUGAAAUAAAAAGACACGAGGCCUGGUGUGUUUAUGGGGCACUGCUGGUAAGUUUAACAUCAAAUUUGGUACCAGUUUAUGAGCAUCGUUUCAUUUAUUUGCUGUAGAACUAACAACACUGCAUAAAAUUUCCACUAACAGCGUGCAGCUGGACUGUGCAUGUAUGAUCGGCUUAAAAUGUUACCCAGUUUGCUAGCACCCUCAACUCGUCCCGUCUGGAAAAGCAACACCAAAGUUGCGACAAGUAUGAUUUCUUCGAACCAUCAUAUUUACACUUAAUCCACAAAUCUCUUCUCCCCCUUUACGAUAUUCCUUUUUCUGAUCAAUCAAGAUAAACGAAAAGCAAGCACGGACACCUUGAUGCAGCAGCAACCAACUGCCAAGAAAAUAGCAACUGAGAGUGCAAUAGGUAUGAUGCCGAUAAAUUCCAUGCAAACUGAUUUACAAGGGGCAGUUAGCGGCUUUUCUACCACCGUAGGAGGUUCCAGUAUCUGUGUAUCAUCAAUGUCACGGCCGUUAUCAAACGAUAACAUGCUUGGAAGGGAGGUUGGGGGUCGAGUUUCAAAGACAUCAACCGUUCUAGCUCAGGCUUGGAACCGGGGAACUUGUUAGCAUCAUUAUUUGAACUUUUUGGUGAAAGUAUGUUAUCAUUUACUCCCAAACCUGAGCUUUCAUUCUUCCUUUGAUUAAAUUUCACCUCCAAAAGCUAUGGUUUUUGAAGGAAUUUGUGUAAUUAAUCCCCAUAGUUUUUUUCAGUCUUACUGUGUUUAUCUUUAUAAGUCUUCUUUCUUUUUUUUCCUUGCUCAUAAAUGUAUUGUAGUUAUCAAAAAAUAUAUUCUACUUUGGAUUUUAUUUAUAUUAAAUUUUACGUUAAAUUCUGCUAUUAGUCUCUGUACUUUACGAAAAUGAUGGAUUUAGUCCUUAUACCUUAAUUUGAUCAAUUUUAGUCAUUGUAUUUUUUGAAUUGGUCAAUUUUAAACUAUCUACCUUUUAAAUUUUGAAAUUUUAGUCUUGACCCAAAUAAUAAUAAUAAUAAUAAUUAAAUCUGCUUAUUUAAAUUCAAUUAUUAGUUUUGUAUUAUGUAGACAGAUAUAGAUUUAAUCCAUAUUUUUCAAUUGGGUCAUUCCAAGUCUUUAUACUUUUCAAAUUUUGAAAUUUCAAUAUUGAUGCAGAACGAGAGUUGUUAUUAAUUAAUUGAUUAUUUAGCAAGUAUAUGUAGAAAUAACAAGUUGGCAUGUCAUUAUACUUAAAAAAAUAUAUUGGCUUAACCCACCUAAAUUAUGUCUUUUUUUCCAUCUUCGGACCUCAAUUUUUUUAGGGUCAUAAGUGGUACCUAAACUACUUUUUUUCUCCUUCAAAUUAGUAUCUUCAUUAGUUAAACCGUUAAGUCUAUUUAAAAAAGAAAGACUCGAACAACAAAUUAAUACCUAAAACAAUGCUCUUUUUCCCAAUGUAUCUAAUUUUUAUUUUGGCCAUAAGUACUACUAAAACUAUUCUUCCGUUACUCGUUUUACACAAAAUGUUAUAUCGGCUAAAAAGAUUGCAACAAAUAAUAGAUUGUAUGUCAUAUAAACUUUUAAAAAUAAUUAUUAAUUAAUUAUUUUUUAUAUUUUUCUUUCUUAUUCCUUUAUAAUGUUUGACAAUGCCGAUAAUGUUUGAAAUUGGCCCACUUGAGGUCGAAACGCUGGUGAUUAAUUUUGGUUUUGAAUUUCACCACCUAUUUCUCUGACCUGAGGGGAUAAAAAAUGUUCUUUCAUUGAUCAAAACUAGUGUUUUCAAAAACAGACUGAUUCAACCGGAAAUAGGGGUUGAAUCAUUGACUUGCGAGCAAAAACAAAUCAGUUGAACUAAGCUAAAAAAAACUAGUUGAACUAGUUCUCUCUAUUUAUAUAUAUAAAAAUAAUAAUAGUCUUUUUUUUAUUACAUGUCAAUUUUUAUUUGGUUAUUUUUUUUUCAUAUAAACUGAACGGUUUGACUAAUGACGGAGGUACCAAAUUAUAGUCUAGGUACCAAUUUAUGGGUUAAGCCUAUUUCUAAAAUAGACUUUUGACUAAUGGCGGUAGUAACUUGGGAAAAAAAAGUAGUUUAUGUACCACUUGUGACCAAAAAUAAGUUUAGGUACCAACAUCGUAAAAUGAGUAUAAUUUAGAUACCGAUUUAUGAGUUAAGCCUAAUAUAUUUGUCGCAUCAUUUUUUAAAAAUAACAGAACUUAAUAAAUUUAACGAUUAUUGUUUGAUGAUGACUAAAAUUUUAAAAUUUGAAAAGUACAUGAACUAAAAAUGACCAAAUUAAAGUAUAAAGAUUAAGUCCACAACUUUUGCAAAGUACAAGGACUAAUAGCAGAAAUUAACCUAAAUUUCAUAUGGGUCAAUUACAAAAAUAAUCACUAAGCUAUUCCUUUGGUUCUAUUCUAGUCAUUCAACUAUAGAGGUGCUCAUGAGUUGGGCCAGGUCAGGCCUAAGGAUGAUAUUAACGUACUUUAUACUUGCUCAAGCUUGGCUCGGCCCGAAAUAUGAGCUUAAAUUUUCACCUAAACUCAUCCAUAUUUGCAAAAGACUAACGCAAGCUCAUUUUAGGCAUGCUUAUAUAAUUUUUAGUUUUUGUUUAAAUAUUUAUAUUAUAUUAUUUUAAUAUUUAAUAAUUUAAACAUUUUUUAUUUAUUGAAAAUUUUUAUAUAGUCAUCUAAUUAACAUUAUUUUAAUGUUUACAUUAUAGUAUUAUUAUAUAUUUAAUAUAAGUUUAUUUUUUAAUCUGUUCUAAAUUUUAUAAUAUAAAGUAUUAUACACUUAAAAAUGGGCCGGGCUGGGCUCGAGCUUUGAAUGUUCAAGCCUGAACCCAGCCCAAAUUUUAAACGGGCCUAUUUUUUUUUUACCCAAACCUAAUUUUUGGGCCUAAUAUUUUUAUCCAGACCCUCCCAAAUUUUUGGACCUUGCCAAGUAGCCCAACUCAUUAACAAGUUUACUCAACUAUUAAUUUUUUCGAUUUAGUUGUUAACCUUUUCGAAAGUAAAUAUUUUAGUCACUCUCCUGUUAGUUGUUGCUAAAUGAGUGACGGAAAGCUAAUGUGGGUUUUUUUUAUUAGUCUAAUAACAAAUUUAGCCCUAAAUGUUAACAAAACUUGUCAUUUUAGUUCAAAUUCUAAAAAUUUUAAUAAAUUUAACCCUUAAUAUUUUCAAAAAUUAGCAAUUUAGUUCUAAUUCUAAAAAUUUUAAUAUAUAUUUAAAAAAAUAUUUUUAAUCCUCUGUCUCACCCUUUGAUUUUUUUAGAUGAGCUAAAAUCAAAACAUAUCGUUAUAUCUUUUUGUUUUAAUGCUAAAAGAGAUAAAAAAAAUGAAAAGCUAAAAUGACUUUUCGUUUGUAAAGUUAAAAAAUGCUAAAUAAAUCAUUAUGUCUUUUUAGUUUUAAUUUUUUACUUGAUUAAAAGAGAAAUAAUUAACGAAUAAAAAAUAAUUAUUCCCAAAUAAAUUUAUCAAAAUUUAUAAUAAAUGAGAUUUUGAAUUUAUCAAAAUAUAUAUAAGUAUACACAUUUUUAUGAAAUAUAAGAUUUUGCUAAAAGAAAAAGCAUACAAAAGUAUACACCUUUUUAUGAAACACAAGAUUUUGCUAAAAGAAAAAUAUAUGGUAAAAGGAAGACUAAGUGGUGGUUAAAAAAUACAAAAAAUUUUGAAAAUCUAAUAUCCAUAACUUUUCAAUGUAAAAGAAAAACAGACUGUAACACCAAUGUUGUGGUUUUAUUUGUUGCCUAUAAAUGCCAUUCCUAUCCUUCAUCUUCCUCUACCAACAUAACAUGGCCUCCUAUCUCUUUCUCUGCCUAUUCCUCUUCUUUCCCCAUCUUUAUGCUUCUUUUUCUUCUUCAGGAUCUCACUCCUGCUCUUCACUAACCCAGUUCAAGAAUUCUUUUUCCAUCACUCAGACAGAGGGUGCUUCUUUGUCUUGCAAUGAGAUUGCUGGCCUUAAAUCUUAUCCCAAGACAAAUUCAUGGAAGGAGGGUACAGAUUGCUGCUCAUGGGAUGGGGUCACUUGUGACCACCUAAAUGCUCAUGGUAUUGCCCUUGACUUGAGCUGCAGUUGGCUAUAUGGCAACUUCCCUCCCAAUACCACUCUCUUCCUUCUUCCUCACCUUCAAAAACUCAACCUUGCCUUCAAUGAUUUUAAUCUUUCCAAAAUUCCAUCCGAGUUCGGUGGGUUUACAAGCCUAUUCUACCUCAACCUUUCUCAUACAGGGUUUGCAGGACAAGUCCCAUCCCAAGUCUCCCACCUGUCAAAAUUGGUUUCACUUGAUAUCUCCUCUUCGAUUUAUGACUAUGAGAAAUUUACAAUUGACAAACAUGCUCUGGAGGGACUUGUUCACAACCUAUCCGAGGUCAGACAUCUGUUUUUGGAUGGAAUGGACAUGUCUUCUGUUAAUGCUCAUGUCUUCAUGAAUCUAUCCUCUUCUCUAAGGUCUCUCAGUCUUGCUUAUUGUGAUUUGCAAGGAAAAUUCCCAAAAAACAUUUUUGAUUUGCCAAACCUCAAUCUCCUCAACUUGGGAAGCAACCCAAUCCUCAGUCUUGAUCCUUUGAAGUUGAAUCGGAGCAGCAAUCUUGAACAUUUGGAUCUGUCGUCCAUGUCCUUCUCUACAGAAUUCAUUGAUUCAGUUGAUAAUCUACAGGCCUUAAAGUACUUAGAUCUAUCAGGACAUUUUUUCUCUCAACGAUUGUCUGUCUCAAAAACAAAAUCGGGGUACUUGUUUACUGGAGACGCAAAUUUUUUUGGAGGAUUGCCUGACUCGAUGGGGAAUCUUGUGUCUUUGAAGUUUUUAGAUCUCUCCUAUUCCAACUUAUCAGGAACGGUUCCAAGAUCACUGGGGAAUCUCUUGCAACUCACUCAUUUAGACUUGUCGGGGAACCAAUUUAGUGGACAAAUUCCAUCGUCAAUUCUAAACCUAACGCAGUUGGAAUACUUGAAAAUAUCUGAAAAUUCAUUAGAAGGUUCCAUUCCAGAUGAGGUAACCGCUUUUCCUAAUUUAAUAUAUUUAUACUUAGAUAACAAUUUACUUAAUGGAAUACUUCCGUCAUGGUUGUAUACUGCUCCCCCCUUAAAGAGAAUAGAUCUCUCUAAAAAUCAAUUCAGUGGACAUAUCAAAGAAUUCCAAUCCAAAUCACUAGAAUUGAUAUGGUUAGAGAAUAAUAAACUCCAAGGUCCUCUUCCAUCUUCAAUAUUCCAACUUCUCAAUCUUACCGGACUCAAGUUAUCCUCAAAUAAUCUUAGUGGUGUCAUAGAGUUUAGCAUGUUCUCAAACCUUCCAAAUCUCGAAUAUCUUGACCUUUCAUAUAACAGCCUAUCCUUAACAUCUAAUACUACUUCUACUGUUAAUCUUACAAGCUUAUUUUUGUCAUCUUGCAAUCUUAGUGAAUUCCCCCAAUUUUUGAAAGGGCUUAAAAGUUUGGAAAGCUUAGACCUCUCUUGCAACAAAAUUGAAGGCAAGAUUCCACAGUGGAUGCAAGAGGUGGGGAAUGGCUCUUUGACUUACUUAAAUGUAUCUCACAACUCUUUGACAGAAGUUGAGCACUUUCCAUGGAAUAAUAUUGCAGUUCUUGACUUAAGCUCCAAUUUGAUCCGUGGAAAUCUUCCGAUUCCAGCUUCGACCAUAAGAGUCUUUUUGAUCUCAAAUAAUAGUUUCAAUGGAGAGGUCUCUUCUUUAAUAUGCAAUGCCACUUAUCUUCAAAUUCUUGAUUUGUCCCACAAUUACUUGAGUGGAUCAAUUCCGCAAUGUUUUGGAAAUUUGAGCUACUGGCUUGAAUUCUUGAAUCUGAAGAAGAAGUUUUAUGGGACGAUUCCUCCAGCAUUCGCAAAGGGAUGCCAAUUGAGUAAUUUCAACUUAAAUGGAAAUCUGUUAGAAGGGCCUUUGACACCAUCCAUCCUUAAUUGUAGAGGUCUGGAAGUGCUAGAUCUUGGUAACAACAAGAUCAAUGAUACAUUUCCUCAUUGGUUGGGCAGUCUUCCAUUUUUGCAAGUUCUUGUAUUGAAGGCUAUCAUAAAUCUAGAGAAGAUUGGGAGUACAAUGUCGUACAUGGGGGUGAAUUGUCCUGGAAGUGGCUUCUAUACCUAUUCCAUUGGAAUUGUUAUGAAAGGACAAGAUAUGGACUUGGUGAAAAUUUUCACCAUGUGGAUGAUCAUUGAUCUAUCAAACAAUCAGUUUGAAGGGGGUAUUCCAGAGGUUUUUGGGAAGCUUAACUUACUGAAAGGGCUCAACCUUUCUCAUAAUAACCUUAAUGGUGGUAUCCCCACCUCAAUAGGGAAUUUGACAAGUCUUGAAUGGUUGGACCUAUCUUCAAACAGGUUGUCUGGGACGAUUCCAAAUAGAUUGGCAGAUCUGCCAUUUCUUUCGUCCUUCAAUGUUUCUGAAAAUAAACUCCAUGGUCAGAUUCCUCAAGGCAAACAGUUAAACACAUUUGGAAAUGAUUCAUAUGAAGGAAACAAGGGAAAAUAAACUCCAUGGUCAGAUUCCUCAAGGCAAACAGUUCAACACAUUUGGAAAUGAUUCAUAUGAAGGAAACAAGGGAUUAUGUGGAUUUCCGGUCUCAAAAGGUUGCAACAUCAUUGAGCCACCACCUCCAAAUGUGCUUGAAAAAGAUGGCUCAAAAUCAAACAUUACUUUUGGUUGGAAAGUGGUGUUGAUAGGUUAUGGAUGCGGAGUGGUGUUCGGAAUGUCCGUGGGAUAUGUUGUUUUCCAAACUGGUAAGCCGAAAUGGUUGGUGAAUUUGUUGAAAUCCAACAUGAGAAGAAGCGAAGAAGAAAGUCAAAGGAUGGCAGUCGCAGAAAUGGACGAAGAAGGAUCUAGUUAGUGGAAAUGAUGUUCAAGUGUUGAUGUUGUAUCUUCAUAAUUUCUUGUUUUGAAGUCUUUCAAUUUUUUUCCUAUGGUGAAAGGUUGCAUUGGCAUGCAUCUGUCUUUGUUAUUGUGACAAUUCAUCUAUAUUUCAUUGCAUUACAUAGUAUUUGUAAGGGUUUGUUUUAAAUGUAACAUUUUGUAUGGUUCAACUAUUUAUGUCUUCUUUCAUGACUUUCAUUUUUGAGUCUCAAUAAUCUCUGCAUUCAAGAUUUUGUCAGCUUAUUAAUUGGUAAAAAUUAUAUGAAUAAACUUUUAUAAAUAUAAAUAUGAAUAAACUUUUAUAAAUAUAAAGUGUAAUUUAUGAGUCGAGUUAUUCAAUAAGAAAAAAAAACCCUCAUUUCAAUGUUCAAUAUAUAUGAAAUUCUACAAAAUUAAUUUCUUCUAAUAUUUUUACUUUUUGUGAUUAAGUUUAAAAUACUUUUCAAUUACUAAAUCUUAGUCCGAGCCAACCUAUUGGCUCGACUAACUAUUUAGAAAAUAUAAUAUGUUUAUAUUAAAAAUUUUAUAUUUAAAUAAAAAUUCAAGACGAGUUGUCUAGAAUUUGUGAAAAUGCUGUCCACGACCUAGCACAUAUUGGACAAUCCUAUUGAACUAGGUAGGUAGUGUGAGCUUGCCUUGAAAGUGCUAAUAAAUCCAAUUGAGUCAAGACUUAAGACUUCUUAUUCAACUUUAGACCCAAAUUGGGUAAUCAUAUUAGACGGAUAGUUUGAUACUUAAAUAUAUCUAAUCACAAUAUAUAUAAUUAAAUGAGCAAACAUAAAACCUUGGUUCUAAAACUCCAUGCUUCCUCUUUUGUUAACUUUAUGUUUAACUCUUCGGCCAACUUUUUCAAAUGUUGUAAGGUUCCCACUGUCAGUAUUAUACCAUUUUGAUCUCCACUAUUACAUUAUAAUCAUAUUAAAAAAAUAAAAAAAAUAGAAAAAAAUCAGUCAAAUGGCAUGAUAAUUUCUUUUCAAAAUUGUUCACUUUGAUUCUUCAUACAUAUUUAACUUAUUUCAAGAAAGUAUUGGAAAAAAUUAUGGCAUACAAAUAUAAUACUAACCUGAAUAUUGUAAUGGGAAUGGCUUGUUGAAGAAGGUUUUUAAGUGCAGGGAGCAUGUCAAGGUCCUUAUCAGCUUCGUUGUAUUUAAAAUUAGUUCUAAAAAAAUAAGAGUGAAAUAUAAUGAAAAUUUUAAGGCUAGCAAUUUUUACACGACAUUCACCUCAAUAAACAAGUAAUUUAUUUUAUUUUCUUAAGAAAUAGGUGACAAUAUAGAAAGAGAAAAAUUGACCGCGAGUUUUAAAACUUGAAUUUAAAAUAAUUUCUAAAAAGUAUUUAUAUGAAUAUAUUGGAAAAAAAGUUCAUCUUGUCUCAAAUUUUAGGGGAAAACUUACGUGAAAUAACCCUUCCAUCUAUAUGACAAGUUGGUUCGAAUCCCAUGGAAAGCUUUUUGAACUUCUGAAAGAAUAAAGUAAAAUUGCACUCUUAAUGGAAGACACAUGUCUACUUCUGUGCUAACUAUAAGAACCAAUACUAAAAAAUAAAGUUUUACGCUUUUGAUAUAACCAAUAAAAGAAAAAUAACACAAAAUCAAUUUUACUCAAUUGAUCAGUUAAUUCAAUUCUAUAGGAACUUAUGUUAUAUGUAGUUUCGAGUUGAAGUAAAAUAAGAGGAAUGUAAAGAACUAAAUGAAAACAUGUUUUCCCAAGUCCAAAUCUAGCUCAUUUUCAGCAUUAGGAGGGCGAAAGACAACAAAUAGCUUUUGUCAGGAGUAAUUAUGAGCAUUGGUCUUGAAAGUAGCCAAACCGGCCUCGAACUCAAGGUUUUUGCAUUUUGCGCUUCAAGUGGUUGCAGCAUCAAUGAGACACGACCUCCAAAUGUGCUGGAAAAGGAUGGCUCAAAAGCAAACAUUGCUUUUGGUUGGAAAGUGGUGUUGGUAGGUUAUGGAUGCCGGGUAGUGUUUGGAAUGGCCAUGGGAUGUGUUGUUUUCCAAACUGGUAAGGCAAAAAGGUUCGUGAAUUUGGUUGAAGACCAACAUGAGAAGAGGCGAAGAAGAAAGCCAAAAUAUAGCAAUAUCGCAUCAAUGGAUGAAGAAGGAUCUAGUUGGUUCAAAUGAAGUUAAAGCAUUUGUGCUGUGUCUGCAUAAUUUCUUGUUUAGUAGUCUGUCAGAAAGUUUUUCCUAUGGUGAAAAGUUGCAUUGGUAUGUGUCUGUUUUUAUGAUUGUACCAAUUCCUCUGUAUUUCAUUGCAUUUCGUACUAUUUGUAAGGAUUUAGUUCUAGUGUAACAUCUUGUAUGGUGCAACUAUGUAUGUCUUCUUUCUUGAAUUUCAAUUUUUAGUAAACAUUAUACUGCUCAACAUAAAAAAAAUACAUGUAGAAUUACAAAAGAUUCAAUUAUUCAAGUUCGAGUUGCAUUUAUAAACACGUGACGAUGAGAAUUCAUGAUGUGUUAUAAGCAAGAAGACUUUGUAAUCUCAUGAAUGUUAAUUAUUUUACUUCUUUGGUAAAAAAAAGUAAUCAAUCUUAUGAAUGAAAAAUAUAGGGUAAAGAGGAAGUAGUUGUUAACCUUUUCGAUUUAGUUGUUAACCUUUUCGAAAGUAAAUAUUUUAGUCACUCUCUUGUUAGUUGUUGUUAAAUGAGUGACCAAAAGCUGAUGUGGGCUUUUUUUAUUAGUCUAAUAACAAAUUUAGGCCUCCAAUGUUUACACAUUCUAUCAAUUUGAUCCUAGAUAUAAAAAAAAUCAACAAAUUUAGCCCUGAAUGUUAACAAAACUUGUGAUUUUAGUUCAAAUUCUAAAAAAUUUAAUAAAUUUAACCCUUAAUAUUUUCAAAAAUUAGCAAUUUAGUUCUAAUUCUAAAAAUUUUAAUAUAUAUAUAUUUUAAAAAAUAUUUUUAAUCCUCUGUCUCACCCUUUGAUUUUUUAGAUGAGCAAAAAUCAAAAUAUAUCAUUAUGUCUUUUUGUUUUAAAGCUAAAAGAGAUAAAAAAAAUGAAAAGCUAAAAUGACUUUUCGUUUGUAAAGUUAAAAAAUGCUAAAUAAAUCAUUAUGUCUUUUUAAUUUUAAUUUUUUACUUGAUUAAAAGAGAAAUAAUUAACGAAAGAAAAAUAAUUAUUCCCAAAUAAAUUUAUCAGGUUUUAGAUUUAAAUUAUGAGGCUAUAUAUAUAUAUAAGUAUACACAUUUUUAUGAAAUACAAGAUUUUGCUAAAAGAAAAAGCAUCCAAUUUUAAGAAUGAAAAAUAUAAAUCCUUUCAUUUUGAAUUGCAACUUUAUCCUGCCUAAAUUCCUCAACCAUGAACCACCCAUCAGGGCAGCCUCAAAAUGAACUUCCUUGGUCCGCCGGAUUCUGCGAUUGUUGCUCUGACCUGAAAACUUGUAACCCUUUCUUCUUUCUUCAAAAUCAGUUGUGUCAUUUUAAAUAUAUGAAUUAGUUUAUCAAUUAAAUAUAUGGACAUUUCAGGUUGCAUUUCAUAC